GGAGACGCUCUCCCCUUUGGAGAUGAAACAACAGCUGCCUGUUGGAAGUGAUGACAUAGCCAGAAGAUUGCUUAACUGCAAUUCCAUUCUGAGGUUUGGUGUUCAAAGAAAAGAAUGAUUAUCACACGGAAAUUCCUGCUGUAUUUUCCUUCAGUCUCCUCUCAGCUGCUAGAGCAGCAGCCACGGAUGGGGGCAGAUGUCUUAGGUUUUCAGUUGGCUUUCCAUCACUUUCUGGCACAGUGGACGGCACUGUUGCGAAUAGGGACUCAACAUCCUUAAGGGUUAACACAGGCUGAUCCUGAUUCUUCGUGUUCCCACUAAUGAAUGAACUGGUGCUUCUACUUCUGUUCAGUUUAUAUAUGCUCUCUUCCACGGUGUCUUUAACCUAAUAACAUCAUAGAAGAAAAGGGAGAAAUUUUUGUUAGAACACAUAGAGACUAUAAAGCAGAAAUUCUAACAGAUGACAUGAAUUUUCAAAGUUUCGGACAACAAGCAAACUAGAAAGCACGAGAGGUCUUUGUAAACGCUAGUCCUUAAAGAGUUCCUGCAUGCUCCUUGUCGCACGUCAAAAAAUCCCGCGCGUGGUAUCGGCUAGCGAUUUUUUUCUCGUUGUUGUGUUUGCUUGAAUUUGGUUCGUUGGAGUCGCCACCUAGUAAUUGAUUGAGGGCUACUAGGAAACCCGAUGUACUGGUCUUGUCAGAGAUCGCAAGUAAGGGAUUGGUUGUGGUUAGGGAAGAUAUUAACACCCCUAACGCACCCUACCUGAGAUAAGCUGCUUUGUGUUCUGAUAUGAUAUGAAAAUUAUUAUUAUUUUCAAACAUGAACUACUUAGAUACAUACUCUGUAAAAAUUAAUUGUUUUUUUUUAUACAAAAUAUUUUAUCCUCUAUAAUGACGUGAGACACUUGGAAUUUCAAGUUCACCUAUAAUUUCCAUAUUUUCCUCUGAAAAGAUAAUGGAAAAGUGUAUGUGAUGAGAGUCUCACCAAUUUUCCCACUUAAUAGAGAUAUAUAAUGGGAACAGAAAAAUGAGGUUCCUAUCCAUCCAUUUUUAUGAAGUUCCUAUCAAUCCACGGGAACAGAUUAUAAUUUUAUUUUUAUAAAAAAAAUAUUUAAAUUAUUCUAUCUUACUUUUAAGUAUCUUAAAUAAAAAUAUUAAUAAAUUUUUUUUUUAUUUCUUAUAAAAAAAAUAUUUAAAUUACACUUGAAGUAUCCCCAAUAUUUUUUUUAAUAAAUAUUUCCUAAUUAUUAUAAAAACAAAUUAAAACUAUCCUUGAAUAAUCCUAAACAUAAAUUCUAAUUAAUUUUUUUUAUUUGUUAUAAAACAAAUAUUUCAACUAUUCUUAAAGUAUUCUAAACAGAAAUGUUAAUUAGUUUUUUAUAUAAAAAAACAUUUAAACUACAUUUGAAAUAUCCUAAAUAAUUUUUUUAUAAUAUUUGUCUAUUUUUUAUAAAACAAAUUAAAUUAUCCUUAAAGUUUUCUAAAUAGAAAUUCAAAUUAAUAUUUUUUAUAAUUGUUUUUAUUUAUUAUAUAAAAAAAAUUUAAACUACUCUUGAAGCUAAGCCAAAAUGCUAAUUAUUUUUUUUAAUAUUUUUUAUAUAAAACAUUAAAUUAUUCUUAAAGUAUCCUAAACAAAAAUAUUAAUUAAUUUUUUAUGACACAUAUUUGUUAUGGUACUUUACCUUGAUGCGAACACAUUUUCUUCCCCUUUUAAUUUUUAUAUUUGGUUUUCUAAUUUAUAGCAUUCUAAAACAAUAACAUAACUUUAACUAUAUUUAUAUGUUAUUGGUUUGCUUUUUAUAUUAUUACCGUGUAUGAACCUAAUAAAUUAAUCAAAAUCAUGAUAUCACGUGUUAGGAUCUGUUUUGGAGUAUACUUGAUGUUGUUUUUUAAAAUAUGUUUUAUUUAAAAAUAUAUUAAAAUAAUAUUUUUUUAAUUUUUAAAAAUUAUUUUUAUAUUAGUGUAUCAAAAUGAUAUGAAAAUACCUAAAAAAAUUUUAAUUUAAAAUAAAUAUAAAAAUAUAAAAAUUUACAAAAACAAAUAGCUAUUCUAGAAAUUCUAAUUAUUAUUUUUUUUAUAAAUUAUUUUUAUUUUACAUAAAAAACAUUUACACUAUUUUUCAAAUAUUCUAAAGAGAAAUUCUGAUUAUUUGUUUUUUGGAUUCCGGUGAUGACUAGCCUCCUCCUCCUCCUACUCCAGUACCGUCUUUAUUUUAGAUUUAAUAUUUUUGAAUGUAUUUUUUAUAUUAAUUUUAGAUUUGAUUUGAUUUAUAUUAUUUGAUUUAUUUCUUUAUUUUUAUUCAAUGUAUUUUUUUAAAACAAUAACAUUGAACGGUAUUAUUGGAGCUUCAAUCCUGCUCAUCAUGGUUGAAUGGUAGCCUUUAUCGAUAGUCUAUGUCUCCUUGUAUUGGGAAUGAGGGCAAAUACAUAUCACAAUUAGCUCUGAAUAUUAAUGGGUUUGGAGCAGUCAGCUGUCUAUGUUUUUUAUUUGUUUUUUUAAUUAAAUAAUAAUAAUAAUAAUAAUAAUAAUAAAGAGAAGGCUACUAAAACGUUGAUGUCUUCUUCUUUCUUCUUUUGAUAAGAAUAUAGUUAGUAACGAGAAAAUGAAGGAAAACAGAAGCCGAAGAAUUAAAGAAUAUUGUUGGUGUUUAUGCUCCUUGUUCUAUGUCAGAAAAAAAGAAUCUUUGGAAGAACUUGUGUAUCCUUAGACAUGCCUUCCUUAUUCCGUGGUUGAUGGUGGGAGAUUUUAAUGAGACUUUGAAUCAGAUUGAUAGAAGCAGUGGCUAUCUUCAUAUCAAGGGCUCUUCAGCUUUUAGGAAUUUUCUGGAUUCUUGUCACCUUAUUGAGUAUCAACUGGCUGGAGGUUACUUCACUUGGUUCAGGAAUUGCUUGAUGAGCAAACUAGACCGUGCUUUCUCAAAUGAAUCCUUUCUUCUACAAUUCUCAAAUGUAAUGCUCCAUUGAUUACCUAGAGAAAUGUCAGACCAUUCCCCUUGCUUGUGUCUGAUUCCCUCCUAGAGAGCGGUUAUCGGCCUUUUAAAUUUUUGGACUGUUGGCUUCAAUUUCCUAACUUCAAAAAUAUUAUUAGAGGCUUUUGGUUUGACGAGUGUACAGCAUUCCCAGGACGUUUCAGAUUUAUUAAGAAGCUUAGCUUUGUAGCAGCUCAACUUCGGCGAUGGAACAAAGAUGAUUUUGGUGAUCAGGAGUACAAGCUUCAGGUUGUGAUUUCCCAAAUUGAUGAUCUAGAGAGAAAACAGGAGGUUGAUCCUCUAUGUCCCUCAGAUCACCUCAAGCUUGAAUCUCUUAUAAAGGAUAAAUGGACCUACAGUAAUAGAGUUGAAUGCAAGUGGAAGCAGAGAUCUAGACAGUUAUGGUGCAAGCUAGGGGAUCGUAAUACCAGGUUUUUCCAUUUGAUAGCUAACUUCAGAAGAGCUAAAUCUCAUAUUAUGAUGAUCAAUCAUAAGGGGGCUAAACUCCGGUCAUUACCAGAAAUCAAAUCUAAAUUCAAAGUUGUCUCUUUGGCUAGAGCGAGAUGUGACAUUGGAUGAAAUUAAAAGAUGUGUGUGGGAUUGUGAUGGUUCUAAGAGUCCUGGUCCAGACGGUUUCAAUUUUAAAUUCUAUAAGCUCGCUUGGGAUUUUAUUGCAGAAGACUUAUUGGACCUGAUCACUGAAUUUUUUAGAACAGGGUCUAUGCCGAAAGGGGUUAACCUCUCCUAUAUCACUUUGGUGCCGAAAAGAAAGGUUACUAUGGAAUUCAAAGAGUAUCGCCCCAUUAGUUUGAUCUAUGGUAUUUACAAGAUUAUUGCGAAGAUUUUGUCCAGCAGAUUAAAGGAAGUAAUAGGCAGCUUGAUUAGUGACAAUCAGACUGCUUUUAUAGCAGACAGACAAAUUGUUGAUGGUUUUAUGGUAGCUAAUGAAGUGGUUUAUGAUCUAAAAAGAAGUCGAAGAUCGGGUCUCAUCUUCAAGGUUGAUUUCCAAAAAGCUUUUGAUCCAGUUCUAUGGGAUUACAUUGAUGAGGUGAUGACUUACAUGGGUUUUGGUGCUAAAUGGAGAGGGUGGAUUUCCUCCUGCUUGUCUACUAGUCAGGUUUCAGUCUUAGUCAAUGGCUCUCCUUCCCUAGAGUUCAAAGUGGGGCGAGGUAUUAGGCAAGGUGAUCCCCUAUCUCCCUUUCUUUUUAAUAUUGCUGCUGAAGGUCUAUCUGUUCUCUUCCAACGUGCGGCAUCCUCAGACAUCUUUCAGGGUAUUGAUUUUGGCUCCAAUAACUUCUUAAGUCAUCUUCAAUAUGCAGAUGACACUCUUGUCUUUAUGCCAGCUAGUUUGCAUGCCCUCCAGUCAGUUAAAAGAGUCUUAAGGUGGUUUGCUCUAUGCUCAGGCUUGCACAUUAAUUUUUUUAAGAGUUCUCUUAUAGGAAUCAAUGUUGAUGACUCCUGCUUGGAUGAGUUUGCAAAAUCAGUUUACUGCAGGCAUGAUUCUCUUCCAUGUAAUUACCUGGGAAUGCCUUUGGGGUCUAACCCUAGAAGGAUUUCAACAUGGAAACCCGUCAUUGAUAAGUUUCGAAAGAAACUCACUUCGUGGAAAGGGAGAAUGUUAAGCAUGGCCGGUCGCAUUUGCCUUAUCAAAAGUGUGUUGAACUCCCUUCCUUUGUACUUCAUGUCCAUCUUCCUUAUGCCAAAAGGUGUGUGUCGCUUACUUACUUCCAUCCAACGCAAAUUCUUAUGGUCGGGAACUGUCAAAAUGAGAAAAAUUUGCAAAGUCCAAUGGAGCGUGGUUGUUAGAGAUAAGGAUAGGGGUGGCCUUGGGAUUGGGUCAUUGAUAGCCAAGAAUAAAGCAAUGCUUUUCAAGUGGAUUUGGAGGCUCUCUCUUCCUGGUAAUGAGCUGUGGAAGAAGAUGAUAUUCAACAAAUUCAAGCCGGUGUUUGAAAAUGGUUUCCCUAUUUUUAGUAGAAGAUUGUCUUGUAUCUGGAGGGAUAUAACAUCCCUUAUGACCUCAACAGACUCUGUCUCUUCAGCUUUAGCCAAUAAUUGCAGAUUUGUAGUGGGAAAUGGCUCUCUGACUCGAUUCUGGUCUGAUGUUUGGUUUGAUAGCUCUCCAUUGAAAGUCAUCUACCCACGACUCUACAUUCUUACCACUAAACCGAAUGCCACAAUUGCUGACAUGGGAAUUUGGGAGCAAGGAGAAUGGAAGUGGGAGUUAGCUUGGAGGAGACAAUUGUUCCUCUUUGAAACUGAGCAGGUCGUCUACCUUCUCUCAUCUCUAGAAAGCUUUCGAAUAAAGGCAACAACUUUAGAUAAAAAAGUCUGGUCCUCUUCAACAGAUGGAGGGUAUACAGUUAAAACUUGUUCUUUACUUAUUGACAGGAUUGUGAAUCCAGGGCUUAGAACUUUCAAGGCUUCGAUAUGGCAAAAAGGGGUCCCUCCUAAGGUUCAAUCUUUUCUUUGGCUAGCUGUUCAGAAUAGACUGUGCACUAAGGAUUUCUUACUUUGCCGUAAUAUAAUCCCAGUUGAUCAAGCCUUUCGUAUCUUUUGUGAAAAUGAGAUUGAGACUUCAAAUCAUCUUCUCCUCCAUUGUAGACCAGUGUGGAAAUUAUGGAUGAAAUUCUUGGAUUGGUGGGGUAUUAGUGGUUGCCUUCCCUGCUGUGUGGAUGAUCUUUUACAUCAAUGGCCCAACCUAGUGUUCGGAAAAUUCCAGCGUAAGGCUUGGUCUAUGCUUUCUUGUUGUGUUAGCUGGAGUAUAUGGCUUAUGAGGAACAAGGUAAUCUUCAAUGAUGGAACUGCGACCUUCGAAGAUAUUUUCUCCUUAAUUCUUUAUCGCCUCUCAAAUUGGCUCAAGUCUGCAGAUAAGUUCUUCAUGGCUAUGACAUUACUUUAAUUAUGGGACCUGAAGGUAUUAUAGAUUGGUCUAACACCAAAUAAAGGCUUUUAGCAUGGCGUAUCAGCUUCUUCAUUCCUAAUGUCCUUUUUCGGUUAUGUAUCUGUUGACUUUUUUUUCCUUUCUUUUUGUGUUUGUUUUUUGUUAUUGUGAUUCUUUUUUUUUUUUUAUGUAUCUUGUUUUUGGCUAUUUUUUGAUUAGCCCUUUUAAUAUAUCGACUUAUUCCAAAAGAAAAAUAAAAAUGAAAUCGAUGAGGAAAAAAAGGAGAGGGAGAGAGGGAGAUGGGGUGCUUCUGGGCGGGAAGCGUGAAAAGAAGGAAAGAAAUAAGUAAUUAAUUGAAAAGAUAUUGUACUUGUUGAAGGACGAAAGUGCCCUUCAAGUUAAGACAAGGAAAAGAAGGUAGCUGGGAGAGAGCCAGGUGGCGAUCAUGAGAGGAGAAGGGUGACACGUGGUUGUGACUGGCACAAAGCUCUUCCUUUUUACUGAUUAUUUAAUUAACUCGUUGUCUUCUUGAGGUCCGUGUUGAACGAACCUAAAAAACAAGAUGCCUUUCUAAUUCUAGAGCAGAAGACACGUUUCGAGAUGUAACAAACGCUAGAAAAAGUGUCCAUGUGUUUGUCAGUUUAGGUGUGUGGGAGUUCGACACGUGGAUAGGAAGCAAGUUGCAUGAGGAGUACUUAUUACUCGUGAAAGAUGCGGCUAUCUUUUAUCUUGCUACCUGUGGGGUGAAUACUUUUUUAAAAAAAUAUUUUUAUUUUAAAAUAUAUUGUUAUAAUUUUUUAUUAUUUUUAAUAUUAUAAUUUUAAAAACAAUAAAAAAUAUUAAUUUAAUACUUUUUAGUAAUAUUCUACUAAAAUAACUUGGAGUUACUUUAUUUUUGUAUUUUAAAAGUAUUUUAAAAAGUAUUUAUAUAUUAUAUAUUUUUAUUUUUAUUAAUUUUUUUAUAUGUUUUUAGAUUGUUUUGAUAUAGUAAUAUUAAAAUAUAUCUUUAAAAAAUAAUAAUAAAAAUAUUUUAAUAUAUUUCUAAAUAAAAAAUAUUUUAAAAAUUAACUACAAAUAUCAAAAGAGUUUAAAUAUCAAGAGAGUUCCAACUCAACACUUAUCCCAGUUAUGCAAAGGAUAAAAAGAAAAGCAUUAGACUAGGUUUUCUUAAGUUCCACAAGGAAUAAGAGGGAUACUGUCGUUCAAUAAAUAAAAAUAACGAGGGAUCAUUUGAUUUGCCUUUCUAUCUUUCUGAUAGUCUUUUAAGUUGUGCAAUGCAUUGUAAUUAAACAGGGGUGUUCAUUUAUUCCGAAGUUAGACAGAGGUUAAAUCAAAAUCAAUUUAAAUAAGUUAAGAUAAUUGCUUUAAUUGAUGCAUGGUAAAUAUAAUAUAUCCAUCAAUGUUAAUUUUACAUGUAUAAUAUUUAUAUUGUUUGAAUCCAAUAUAUAUGUAUACACACCCUUGACAUUUAUAUGACACGUAUAAUUUCUAUAUUCAAUAUAUUAUUCUUUUAUUUUAUGUUAAAUUAUAAAUAAUACUUGAUUUAUAAAAUAUAUAAAAAAAAUAUUGAGCAGGAAAUAUUGAAUAAGAUAUGAGUAUAGUACAAACUUUGAUAUAUAAAUACCUACCACUAAUAAAUAAAUUCAUUUGUUUAUGUGCAGCGUGAAGAAGAACUAGAGUGGAUCUUGACAAGUGUUGACGUUUAAAACUAGAGAUAUUACACGCUUGACCUUAUCUAAACACAAACAGAUUGGUUGCAUUGUUUGCUGUUUUUUUUUUUUUAUUAUUAUUUGAAAAGAUGAGAUCAGUUUCAUUUGAGUUUGUAACUAUUCCUCUCAAGAAGUGCACUUUAACUGCACACAGCUCAGAUGCAUUAUGAAUCUACAUUUAUAUUUUUCCUGAAAAAAAAGAUAUUUAUUUUAAAUUCCUCUCAACAAUUAUCACAACGGGUGUAUGAGUUAAUUUAGGUAUAUUUUAAUUAAUUUUAUAAAUUAAUAAUCAUACAAAAUGCAAACGGUUAGUAAUUUGUUGAAAUUUAUAGAACCCAAACUUGUAACUUAAAAAAGAAGAAGUAAAAUCUGAUGAGGGAAGUUACACCACCAUGUAGAGAGAUUCUUUUAGACCCUGAUUUUUCCUUCUCUUCAUGCCUCUCUCCUAGAAGUCCUAAGAAAUACAUAGGUAUUAUUGAAGCUUCAAUUCUUUUUAAUUUUUAUUUAAAAAAUAUUUUUAUUUUUUAUAUUAAUUUAAUUAAUUUAUUUUACAUUUUAUUUGAUUUAAUAUAUUUGAUUUAUUUUUCUACUUUUAUUCAAAGUAUUUUUUUUAAAAUACAUUGAAUGGUAUUAUUGAAGCUUCAAUCCUGCCCAUCAUGGUUGAAUGGUAGCCUUUAUCGAUAGUCUAUGUCUCCUUGUAUUGGGUAUGAGGGCAAUUUUAUAUAAAAGAUUUCACAAUGAAAAUUUCACCAACCAAUAAACUGUUAUCGUGUUCUUUGGGUUUGAAUUUUCUAAUGAAAUGAUGGAAAUUCAUUGGAUGGUAGAGUGGGUCUUGCUGCUACCUUCUUACAGUUGAUUAUUUUGCCUACUGAAGCUCUUGUUUUUUUUUUAUUAUUGUUCUUUUAAUUGUUUGAGCGAUAACUUAAAAUUUCAUUCGUAGCAUUGAUCUUCAAUUUAAAAUCAAAAUAUUCUCAAACCAAAGAAAAACAAAUUCUAACGCAUAAAAUAGUGCCGACAUAAUUUGAAAGAAAAAAAGUUUGAAGAUGAAAUUCAUAUUACAAAAAAUUAUUGUUCCAAUUGAUAAUCGAAUACAAGUAGCUAGCUAUACACUAUGAGAAGAGAUCUCCCAAACUUAUUGUGCAAAACGCCUUGGGCAGUGGAGGGCACUUAGCUGUAAGCUCGAAAGAAAUUUUUUCCAUUGUAGGCCGAGAUUGGGGAUUGGGAUGCAAGCAUGCAAGUGCAAUUUUUAUCAUGUGGACAACCCCCUCUGCUGCUUUUUCAGGAAGCGAUAUGCGGUGGUCUAACACAUCCUUCAAUGGUGUAUGUUGAGCAAUCGGUGGCAUCGACGAUGAUGACGAAGAUCCUGGUGAUAAGAGUGCUGAAAUGAGAUCGCCUGGGUGCCUUCCUGUCAUCACCUCCAUUGUUACCACUCCGAAGCUAUAGACAUCGCAUUUUUCAGUCACCUUCAUUGUGUAAGCUAGCUCUACAAAAAAAAAAAAAAAAACUGAUUAUGCAUGGUUUUUUAUCAAAUAGUUGAAAGAAAAUACUUUAUAAUAAAAGCUAAAAAAACACUAUAUUAUCUUCACUAUUACACAUUAGUAACUUGAUGUUGAAAUAAAACUACGCACCUGGAGCAGUAUAUCCAAAAGUACCUGCAAAUGAGGUCCAAUUGGAUGAGUCAGGCAUCAACAGUCUAGCGGUGCCAAAGUCGGAGACGUGUGCUUCAUAUUCCAAGUCCAGAAGGAUAUUAUUCCUGGUAAUGUCUCGAUGAAUGAUCGGAGGAGAGCAAGAAUGGUGUAGAUAGGAUAAAGCUCCACCCAUCCCUUUCACAACGUUUAGCCUUCUCAUCCAAUCGAACUCAAUUGCUUGUUCCUCACUGGUUAUAAUCUUUCUCAAGCUUCCUCUUUCAAUGAACUCAUAAACCAAAAAAGAAUGCUUUGCAUGUGAGCAAAAUCCAUACAUUUUCACAAUAUUUCGAUGUCGAAUAUUUGCCAACACACAAACUUCCUUUUCAAAAGCUUUAAAAUCGGACAACUUUUCUGUUUGUGAUCGGUGAAGUUUCUUCACAGCAACCACCUGUUCUGUUGGCAUCACUGCUUUAUAAACAGUUCCAUAUCCUCCUUCGCCAAUGCAGUAGUUGGAGUUGAAUUCCUCUGUAGCUUCAAUGAUGUUCUCAUACAACUUCUUCCCAUUGUCGCACCCCAAAAAAAUCAGCGCGCGGCAUCGGCUGGCGAUUUUUCGUCUUGUUGUUGUUUGCUUGAAUUUGGUUCGUUGGAGUCGCCACCUAGUAAUUUAUUGAAGGCUACUAGAAAACCGGAUGGACUGGUCUUGUCAGAGAUUCGCGGGUAAGGGACUGGUUGUGAUUAGGAAAGGUAUUAGCACCCCUAACACACCCUACCUGAGGUAAGCUGCUUCGCGCAUUUGAUGUGUUAAAGAAGUUUUAAUAAUUGUCUUUUCGUCGGAAAUUAGAAAUAUCACUUACGUAUAAGUUAAUAAUUCUUAACCGUGAUCCGAUCAAAAUAUUAAAUUCUUCUUUAAUAUAUUUUCAAUUUCAUCCUAAAAUAUAUAUAUAUAUAUAUAUAUAUAUAUAUAUAUAUAUACACAAAUAAAUAAAACAAAAUACACACACACAUUCACUAUUUUCAUUUCUUUUUUUUUCUUUUCUCUUUUCUUUUCUUUUACAUCCACAAUACAAAUACAAAUACAAAUAAAAAUUCAAAUUCAAAAUAAAUAAAUAAAAAUACACCAACACACACAUCCCCUUUUUUAUUAUUAUUUUCUUUUCUUUUCUUUUACAUUCACAUAUUACAAAUUUAAAAUAAAUAAACAAAAAUUACAUUAAAACUUUAAAAUUUACAAAAUGGUCCCUCAAAACUCUCGAAUUUGCACAGAAGGACUUCUGGGGAUGCAUGAACAGUUCCGGCGCGUUUUCCCACGCGCCGCCGGGAGAAAAAACAGGGAAAUCAGUCACGGCUUCCUCUCUUCUUCCCCUCCUCACCGGCGAUGAUGCUGUGACCUGAAAGAUAACAAAAAAACGCAACAAAACACAAUCAAUCCUCUUCUUCUUAGAUCUGUUUAGAUCUGCUCCUCUUUCCUCCUUCCUCAAUCGCAGAUCUGUUGAGGAGUGUUAGGUGGCUCGCCGGGAAGCUUUUUUUCUGCCCGUUGCUCCUGUCUCCUUCCCCGGUGGCAGAUCGGGCGGCGACGCUGUCGUUCGUGGGCACCGUUGAAGGCUGUCGUUCGGGUGGUUGCUGCUGGUGAAGAUGGGAGCCGCUGUUGAAGGAGGCUGAUCUGCUGUGUCGGCCAGAUGAGGGAGAGAAGGACGGCGCUGCUGCUGCCACCGCUGAGGACGGCUGGUCUGGGAGGAUCGACCGAAAGGGAGAGAGGUCUGGUGGAAAGGAACGGUUCGGUUUUGUUGGUGGCGAAGCUGUGAUUGAUUUAUGAGGGGAACGGUGAUAAGGGAGGAGCAGUUUUGGCCGACGAUGGGGCUGUAAAGGGGGGGAGUCUCCGGCUGGAGGUUGAAGAUCAGAGGAAAGGGGGAUGCGCCGCUCCUUUUGUUCUCUGGUUUUGGGUGAGUCGGGUGAAGGAGAGAACCGGCGUGGAGAAAAUGUGGGGAUCUGAAAAUGGUGGGGGGUCCUUGGCUCUCUGGUUCUGGUAGAGCCAAAAUCCAAGGACCCCGGGGAACAAAAUAAUUCAAAAUCAGUGGGGGGAAGGCGCCGCCGGCCAGUUGUUUUGAGUGGAUAGAAAAAGUUGGGCUUUAGGGUUCUUGUGUUUUUUUUCAAUAUCCCCAAAUUAACCCCCCCCGGUAAAAAUCAGUUUAGCAUGGUAUUUAUAGGCAAAAAUAUUGCUAGGUUUUUCGACUUGGUCCCUCAACUUCUUUCUUUUUGUAAAUUUUGAUUUUUCUUAUUUUUUUGUAUUUUUUGAAAACGAGCAAUAUCAACGUCGACUCAAAAUGCGGAAAAUCAAUGAUUUUAAAAAUGACGCGUGAAAAGUCGAACGCGUUUGAAAAUAUUUUAACAAUUUAAAUUCUUUUUUAGACGCCGUUGAAAAUGCUAAAAUGACGAAAAUAUAUUAAAAAAAUAUUUUUUGGAUUUUCUUUGUUUUUCUCAAUUUUUUUGGAUUUUUUGAAAAUAUAUCAAAAACAUCGGUCAAAAAUUGGGUAGCAACAGAUGCCCCCUCUUUACAAUGCUUACGAAGCGAAAAUCCUCAAAAUUUUGCAUAGUAAGCUUUGUAAAGAAAACAAAAGGAAGAUGAUUUCAUUAUCUUGGGCGACCUGCCCACACACUCACACUGAUCUAUUUUCACGGGUGACCUGCCCACGCAUACUCACUCUGGUCUAUUUUCACGGGCGACCUACCCACACGUACUCACUCAAGUCUAUUUUCACGGGCGACCUGCCCACACAUACUCACUCAAGUCUAUUUUCACGGGCGACCGACCCACACUCUCCCAAUAGUCUAUUUUCACGGGCGACCUGCCCACACAUUGGGUUUACCUGAGAUCCCAUCUAGCGACCUCAUUCAACUGGAACGAAAAUAUGUGUAACUCGGUUAACCUGAAAUCCCAUCUGGCGAUUCCCUUUAACCAAAGUUACAUGAGAUCCCAUCUGGCGACCUCAUUCUGGUCUCAUUGUAUGGGUGACUAACCCUCGAAAAAUGCUGGUCUCAUUGUACGGGUGACGAACCCUAGUGCUGCUGGUCUCAUUGUACGGGUGACGAACCCUAGUGCUGGUCUCAUUGUACGGGUGACGAACCCUAGAAAAAUGCUGGUCUCAUUGUACGGGUGACGAACCCUAGAAAUAUGAUGGUCUCAUUGUAUGGGUGACGAACCCAAAAAAAAUGAUGGUCUCAUUGUAUGGGUGACGAACCCUGGAAAAAUGAUGGUCUCAUUGUAUGGGUGACCUACCCAGAUGGAAAAAAUGUGAAGUGCGGUCUCAUUGUAAUGGGUGACUUACCCAUGUGGAAAAAAUAUGAAGUGUGGUCUCAUUGUAAUGGGUGACCUACCCAGUGGAAAAAAUAUGAAGUGGGUCUCAUUGUAUGGGUGACCUACCCAAUGGAAAAAAUAUGAUGAAGUGCGGUCUCAUUGUAUGGGUGACCUACCCGAUGGAAAAAUGUGGAAAAUGGUCUCAUUGUAUGGGCGACCUACCCAAUGGAAAAAAUGUGAAACGGUCUUAUUAUGAUGGGCGACCUACCCAGAUGGAAAAAAUGAUAUGACAAGUGUGAAAAAUAGGACUUACCUGGCGAAGUUCUGAAGGGAUGACAGAAGAAAGGGCUGGAAACUUGGUGCUUCCUGAUAAUUCCCGAUCAUGGGGUUUGAAAACUCGGUGUUUCCUGACUGCAAGGGUUGAAAACUCGAGGCUUCCCGGUUGCAAGGUUGAUCUAUUCAUUUCUUUGGGAUUUUUAAUGGUAGGGUUCAUCCCAUCGUCCUUUUAUUCCAUGAUCAAAACCGAUUCUUUAUUAUCAUCACCACAAUGCUUCUUUCUCUUUCCACCAUCUUGCUGGACCUCAUUAAGGAUUUUCCUGUAACAAUUCAAAAAUAUGUGCAAAUGGUUUUUUUUUUUUUUUUUUUUUUUUUGAGGUUAGAUGAUAUGCAUGCAUCCUUACCUGAUUUGAAAUAAUAGGUCCCCCCUCUUUGAUGCUCCAUCGUCAUAGGGUGCCCUUGUUUGUAUCCCAAAGCUUUCUUUGUUCUUCCGAUGUAUUGGCUCAUUCAUGUGUUAGCCAUCCACUCAGCUGUAAAUGCAGUGCCCAUCCCGGGCUGUCUUCGACAAUUACUGCUUGCAUCGUUCAUGAAGCUUGACCCUGCCCCCAAGUGUGGUACUGCUUGAUUCAUCAUGAAGAUUUUCUCUCCUGGCUUCUUCUGAGAAUUAUCCUCUGAUUGAUUGUGUGCAUCAUGCCAACACCCAUCAAGAUUGUUAAUCAGUCAUGAACUUGCCUCUAGUUGAAACAGUACUCUUCAAGUACAUGUUAUCAUCAGCCUCCUUGGAACUCAAUCAGUCAUCUAGACAUGCAUCUCAUAGCUUGCAGUACAAAGGCUCAUGGUUGUAUGCUCAGUGCUCUUCUCAUAGAUUCCUUUCAACUCUUCUAAUCAGAUUGUGAAAAGAAAUGUCUCAGCCUCAUCAAUGAUGCUGCUUUUAUCACCAUACUCAUGCGGUGAAGCGCUCAUCUGGCUUCAGAACAAGUUGUCCCACAAUCAGUCUUCGAGGUGGGUUCCUUUCCGACAUUCAUUCAGUGCAGUUGUGUGAUAACAUCUCUCUAACCAUGUUUCAAAGAAUGACAAUAUGAGAUUGUCCUUUAAGUGCAGCAUUGUUCCACAGUCAGUCUUGGUGGUGUGCAUCUUUUCACCAUUCAAUUACAUUCAUCUGUGUAUCUCAUCGAUUGCUAGCCAUGUUUCAAAAUGAUGAUAUGAAAGUGUCCUUCAGUACAUCUUUGUUUCUCCAUUGCCGACAGGGUUCACUAAGCAUGGGCCAUUUUGGAAUGACAAUGCCCCCGUAUGAUCUGAAUGUGCUCGUUCAUUGAUUAUCUUCUUUGAACAUCAUUGUCUUCAGUUCACUGAUUCAUCAUUUAAUCAUUGCCUCAUAGCUGAUCUGAGCACUGCUUGUUUUUUCUUUUCAAGGUCUACUGUAUUGCCCCCAGUGCUCAACUUUUCAAGGAGUGUCGAGGACUUCAAUGUCAGUUUCUAUCAAGAUUUUGCAUACUCAAUCAAUGUUCUUUUGUGUUUGAUAAUCUUCCUUGUUCUGGAAUCAACUCUCAUAUUUCAAAGAUCAUGUCUAUUCAAAGUCUAGUUUGUUGAAAUGAAAUCAGAGAUGUCCUUUUUUGAAAAUCUUUUGAAAAUCAAGCUUUUUGAUCAAAGACCCAACACACGUUAUUCGAAAUAUAUAGUCCUUUGAUUGUCAUGCAUUUUGAAAACAGAAAUUGACCCAAUGUAGGAUUAAAAAUGGCUUUUUCCAUGGUUCUUUGUAUCAAUUUGAAUCCUUGAUAUUGGGUAUAUCAUUUGAUAGUUUAUGAUGAGGUGAUUUUUUGAAUUUCAAAACAAGAUGCUCAGGCUUUAUCAAGAAAGGUUGUUUCUUUUCUUAUAUUUAUUUUAUCAGCAUGCAUAAUAACCAGUAGCCUAAUUCAAUGAAGCCACGACUCUUAUAGAAAAACUCUUCAAGUUUUGAGAUCGCCAUUUAUUGGUUCAGAUUGCUUGCUUGAUUAAAAAGGGCUUUUAAAAGCACGUAAUGCAGGCUAUGGUUCAUGGCUAUGAAAGAAAGGAAUUCCAUAGGCUCAAAAGGUGUUUGAGGGUUUCAACGACCUAGGACCAACAUUAACUAUUCAUCGAUUCUCUUUCUCUUGUCGUCAUUGUAGCGAGAGUGACAUAUAACCUUGUUAAUCUUCAAAUAUCAGAAUUCUCUUAACAUAGGUCAUAAUGCAAAUCCAACUUUUUCUUUGAUGAAUAAACUAAUCUAAUUAUUUUUGAAGACAUUAGAGGCUCUAUCCAAGACACACCAAAAGAUAUGAAGCAUCGAUUUUUCUAGUGUUGACUUUUGGCAUUUGCUGUCUUUUCUCAAUUGAAAACUGUCUUGCCUCUCUUAGAAUUGAUAGGCAUUUUCUUUCCUUUCCAUUUUUUUUAGCCUUCCUCAAAGUUUUUCUUGGAUGGCCCUCAAUCUAUGGAUUUUCUUCUGCUAGCCCUUUCUCAAACAUUGGACUUUUGUUCUAAGCUUUUCUUUGAUCCAUUGAUUUUAUUAGUGUCUCCAAAAUAUUUCUCAUUUGCCCCCAGUGUGGGGUGUGAUCCUAGUCAGGGUUUCCUUUUGAAAGAAAAUAUUCACCAGCUCAAAAUGGGACUACAAGGGAUAUAAUUUUUAGAAAGUGAAGAGAUAUCAAAGAUGGCCUUUUCUCAUUUCAAGCAAGGUCGGUUAGAACCGAUAAAUUUUGACCUCAUCUAGUAUAAUGAUUUGUACUUGCAAGAAUCAUGAUUCACGAGUCCAUAACUAUUGAAUCCACUAUAUGUCAUUAUGCAUACUGUUAAAACUUAGCUAUAUGAUGUGUGGUUUAGUUUCAAAAAGGUAUGAGUUCAAAAUUGUUUGGGUCACCUCAUGUCAUUUUCAAGCAUAGAGUCAUUUCUGUAAUCAAAACACUUCUAAUCUUCCGGAUUGAUUAACCUUUAUCGCAUGUUGGAGUUUGAUCAAAAUAUUUUGUCAGAAUAAAAUGCUAAACAUCUGUUGAUUUCAAAACAACAAAGAGACAAAAGCAAGGCAUGUUUCGUUGAAGGAUGAGAUGUGAUCCCAAAACAAAAUGCAGAAUUCCAUAACAAUAUGAUUGACUGUUCAUCACCCUUCUCGAAUCAGCUUUUCUGGCAAUAUCUGUGUUUUGCCAAGCAUUUUCGAUCACAUGUCAUUCUGAAGAUGUUCGGGGAACAAUAUAGCCAGUGACACCCUUCUUCAACGACUCCACCUGUCUCUUGCUCACCAACUUUCAGACUCCAUUCUUGCAAUUCUUGAAACUGUUCACUUGAAAUGGUUGAGGACCCCACCAUGACAUCACAUCUCUUAUCUGGAUUAUACCACUGAGAAAUUGGUGGUUGCAUGGGAAUUUGUCGGAGUCAAGCAAAAUUCUGGAAUCUUGCGGAUGCUGGUCGACAACUUAAACGGCAGAGCAAUGUCCCAUCUUGGCAAAGAUAUUUUGAGCAAUUGAUGAUGCCGUGAGACCUGGCUAUACCACAUAAUUAAGGGUUCACACUGUCAAAGUCAUCUCCUGAUUCACCUCUCAUCAUUGUUCUAGAAUCCAUGGCAGAUCCUUCAAUCUUCCAAUGUUGCUAUGGUUGGUUGAGGAUUGUUAGAAAACUUUCUAACAGCUUGGUAAUCUUGGCAGCAUCCAGAAACUUGUAGUAUCGCCACUACCGACGUGUGGAAUCACACAUUGUCUUUAUUGGAAGAGCACCUGAUGAAUCUAAAACUCCUUCGUCCCCUCUUCAAUUUCUCACUGACAGUGCAGCAAACAAACACCUAUAGAGGAAGUCCUGCUCUGUUGAAGUUUCAGUAUUCUUCAUGUUUUUCAGUCUAGGCAUGUAUCUUCUCUCUACUUUUGCAUUUUAAUACUGACACUGUUGGAGAAAAAUCAUAAAUGAUCUGAAACUACUGUAUUCCUUCUUGGAUUUCCACUUGCGGAUCCACAAACAGAUUCCUGUCGGGAGAGCUCUGCUACGUUGAAGUUUGAUGUCUGCUCAUAUUUUUCAAGCCAAGUCUGGCUCUUCAACCUGCUAUAGUUUCUUCGUGCUGAAACUGAUGAGAGAAAUAUUUGUAGCAUAUGCAAUUAGUAAAUCCCCUCUUGCAUUCCCAAUUUGCAGAGCCAUAAAUGGAUUUUUGUAGAGAGAGCUCUGCCACAUUGAAGUUUGACAACUACUAAUAUUAUCAGACCAGGUCUGACUCUUCUGCCUACUACAAUGUUUUGCUGGUGCCACUGGUGGGAAAAGUUUCAAAGCAUAUGAAACAUUCCCUUUUGCAUUUGCCAUUGACAGAUCCACAAAUAAAUCUCUACAGAGAGAGCUCUACCACGUGGAAGUUCAGUGUCUGAUCAUGGUCUUUUUCAUACCAACAUCUUGUGCUGCUGAACUGGAAUUGAGCUCAUAGUUGGGGUAACUUCAAAGCAGACUAAUGCACCAUGAACAGGAGGUUAGUAGUCGUUUGGUUCCAUUAGAUGAUGUGGAGGCGAUGAAUACUUAACAGCGCAACUGGACAGGAAUCAGAGUUGUCAUUAGUUGAUGACUGAAGGCGUUGUUGCUGUUGUUCAUGACUGAAAAGGAAAGGUACAGCUUCAAUUGGACGUGAACAAGCAGUGUUCCCACAGAAAACUGUGCAGACAUUCUCUUUUCAUUUGAUGCUCAACACUUGUUCGAGCAGAUCUGAGUCCCGCUACUUCACUCUUGAUGCUCUCAACCUUAAUCUGAUACUGAACCUAUAUCUGACUCCUUUGUUCACUUCCAUUAUUUUUCUUCAAUCUCGUGCAGCACAACUUGUACAAGGGACCUACGUUUCGACCCGGUUCAUGCAUGAUAAAUGUAUGAACAUGUAAUCUAUAUGAUGAACUCUCCCUUCGAGAGGUGACAAUAUGGUCGUAACUCUUGUAUGAUGGACAAGAAUCGUGAUUUUUGCCCAAACUCUACAAUGAAAAUUUUCGGAGCAACGGCCAAUGUGUCACCCACAAGUCUUGAGUUCAAGAUGCUUCAAGAAGGGUUUGCCCUUAUGCAAAAAACGAUAGCACAUACAACCUAAGGACAGGUUCUAUUCAUUAUGUGAACAUGGGUAAGUUUUCUAUCUGGUCUCAAAAGGGUCUCAUAUCUGCCCAGUGACGUUCUUCGUAAAGACAGUUUGGGGGCGUUGCAAGGAAUGGUUAAGGUACGUAUACCCACCAUUACCAAGCAGGCACUCAGAUAUGAGUUGGGUGUUUCACGCAUCUGAACCCUGACCAAUAGUCUUAGGGCAGAUCGCUAGUUCCCCACCUAACCUAGAAGCUUGUGUGUGCUUUUAAAAAUAAAUACAGGUGAUGCAUGAGACAAUUCUAUAAAAUGCAUGGAAAUAAAUAUUAACAAAAAGAUAAAAAUGCAAAAACUUAAACACAUCAAAUACACAAAGCUUAGUCCAAUACUCGAAAAAAUACCUUCCCCAGUGGAGUCGCCAUUCUGUCGCACCCCAAAAAAAUCAGCGCGCGGCAUCGGCUGGCGAUUUUUCGUCUUGUUGUUGUUUGCUUGAAUUUGGUUCGUUGGAGUCGCCACCUAGUAAUUGAUUGAAGGCUACUAGGAAACCGGAUGUACUGGUCUUGUCAGAGAUUCGCGGGUAAGGGACUGGUUGUGGUUAGGGAAGGUAUUAGCACCCCUAACGCACCCUACCUGAGGUAAGCUGCUUCGUGCUUUGACGUGUUAAAGAAGUUUUAAUAAUUGUCUUUUCUCGGAAAUUAGAAAUAUCACUUACGUAUAAGUUAAUAAUUCUUAACCGUGAUCCGAUCAAAAUAUUAAAUUCUUCUUUAAUAUAUUUCAAUUUCAUCAUUAAUAAAUAUAAAAAUAAAUAUAAACACAAAUAAAUAAAACAAAAUACACAACACACAUUCACUUUUUUCAUUUCUUUUUUUUUCUUUUCUCUUUUCUUUUCUUUUACAUCCACAAUACAAAUACAACAAAUAAAAUUCAAAUUCAAAAUAAAUAAAUAAAAAUACACCAACACACACAUCCCCUUUUUUAUUAUUAUUUUCUUUUCUUUUCUUUUACAUUCACAUAUUACAAAUUUAAAAUAAAUAAACAAAAAUUACAUUAAAACUUUAAAAUUUACAAAAUGGUCCCUCAAAACUCUCGAAUUUGCACAGAAGGACUUCUGGGGAUGCAUGAACAGUUCCGGCGCGUUUUCCCACGCGCCGCCGGGAGAAAAAACAGGGAAAUCAGUCACGGCUUCCUCUCUUCUUCCCCUCCUCACCGACGAUGAUGCUGUGACCUGAAAGAUAACAAAAAAACGCAACAAAACACAAUCAAUCCUCUUCUUCUUAGAUCUGUUUAGAUCUGCUCCUCUUUCCUCCUUCCUCAAUCGCAGAUCUGUUGAGGAGUGUUAGGUGGCUCGCCGGGAAGCUUUUUUUUCUGCCCGUUGCUCCUGUCUCCUUCCCCGGUGGCAGAUCGGGCGGCGACGCUGUCGUUCGUGGGCACCGUUGAAGGCUGUCGUUCGGGUGGUUGCUGCUGGUGAAGAUGGGAGCCGCUGUUGAAGGAGGCUGAUCUGCUGUGUCGGCCAGAUGAGGGAGAGAAGGACGGCGCUGCUGCUGCCACCGCUGAGGACGGCUGGUCUGGGAGGAUCGACCGAAAGGGAGAGAGGUCUGGUGGAAAGGAACGGUUCGGUUUUGUUGGUGGCGAAGCUGUGAUUGAUUUAUGAGGGGAACGGUGAUAAGGGAGGAGCAGUUUUGGCCGACGAUGGGGCUGUAAAAGGGGGGGGAGUCUCCGGCUGGAGGUUGAAGAUCAGAGGAAAGGGGGAUGCGCCGCUCCUUUUGUUCUCUGGUUUUGGGUGAGUCGGGUGAAGGAGAGAACCGGCGUGGAGAAAAUGUGGGGAUCUGAAAAUGGUGGGGGGGGGGGUCCUUGGCUCUCUGGUUCUGGUAGAGCCAAAAUCCAAGGACCCCAGGGAACAAAAUAAUUCAAAAUCAGUGGGGGGAAGGCGCCGCCGGCCAGUUGUUUUGAGUGGAUAGAAAAAGUUGGGCUUUAGGGUUCUUGUGUUUUUUUUCAAUAUCCCCAAAUUAACCCCCCCCGUUAAAAAUCAGUUUAGCAUGGUAUUUAUAGGCAAAAAUAUUGCUAGGUUUUUCGACUUGGUCCCUCAACUUCUUUCUUUUUGUAAAUUUUGAUUUUUCUUAUUUUUUUGUAUUUUUUGAAAACGAGCAAUAUCAACGUCGACUCAAAAUGCGGAAAAUCAAUGAUUUUAAAAAUGACGCGUGAAAAGUCGAACGCGUUUGAAAAUAUUUUAACAAUUUAAAUUCUUUUUUAGACGCCGUUGAAAAUGCUAAAAUGACGAAAAUAUAUUAAAAAAAUAUUUUUUGGAUUUUCUUUGUUUUUCUCAAUUUUUUUGGAUUUUUUGAAAAUAUAUCAAAAACAUCGGUCAAAAAUUGGGUAGCAACACCCAUCAUGGUCCAAUAUCGUGAAUAUGUUUCGAUCUUGUUCAUUUUCUGGCUCAGCGUUUCUCUUCCUAGCUCUUUUGCAGAGAAUGUAUAAAGCUCCAAACACUAAAAGCAAGCUUCCUAAAAGAGGGAGUACAAUCAAAAUCACAAGCUUGUUGCUCUUUCUCUUAACAGUUUUGCUGCUUUCUGGAAGAUUGCAUGGCUUGAGACCACUAGCGUUGCCACAUAUACCCAUAUUAUCCCUUAAUGCCUCAAAUGAAGCGUUGUGGAAGGCUUUGAUAUCGGGAAUGGGGCCUUGUAGCUUAUUGGAUGAUAUAUCCACAGUUGUUAAGCUUAACAUGUCUUUGAAAGUGCUCGGAAUCCGUCCAGAAAGCAUGUUGUGAGAGACAUUGAAAGUUUCCAACUUUUGCAGUUGCCCAAGUUGCCUUGGUAUCUUUCGAGUCAGGAAAUUGAAGCUAAGAUCAAGAUCUUGAAGAGAAAGUAGAAAGCCUAUCUCACCUGGAAUGCUUUCUCUAAAUUUAUUACCGCUGAGGUUUAGGAACAAUAAAUUCGAGCAUUCCCCAAGUUGUUUUGGAAUCAAUCCACUCAGAUUAUUAGAUGCUAAAUUAAGGAUUCGAAGAUUGAAAAGCAUCUUAAUAUCUAAGGGAAUGACACCUGAAAGAUGGUUGUUGUUAAGGAGAAGCUCAUACAACAACUUCAAACCCCCUAAAUCUUUUGGGAUGGCUCCUUUUAACUGAUUUGAUGACAGAUCAAUCAAGUGUAAUUGAGUAGCCUUCCCAAGCUCUGAUGUUAUCUCACCAGAAACAUUAUUGUUUGAGAUUUUAAGGCUUGUCAUGUUACGACAAUCUCCCCAUUUUGAAGAAAGCUCACCAUAAAAAUUAUUGUAACUCAAAUCAAUAUAAUCUAGAUGUGGAUAGACACCAAAAGCCUUAGAAAUAUUUUCUGUUAAUUGAUUCCAAUCAAGUCUUACUCGGUAUAAACCAGUACAGUUUUUCAAACUUUUCGGGAUUGAACCUGAGAAGUAGUUGUAGGAAGCAGUAAAGAUUUUCAAUACUCCUUCAUGGCAUAAAUCUAGUGGCAAAUCACCCGUGAAUUCGUUGGCACCCAAAGACAAUAACUUCAAAUGGGUGAGAUUGUUCAUCUCUGAGGGCAAUGGGCCGUGAAAUCUGUUCUCAUGUAAUGUCAAGUUCACAAGUGAUUUAAGUUGUCCUAUUUCUGAAGGAACACAUCCAGAUAAAUUAUUUUGACUUAGACUAAGCAAAGUUAAAUUUCUUAAUUUUCCAAUAGAAGAAGGGAUUCUACCAGUUAAAACAUUAAUUGACAAGCCAAGUUCAUUAAGAGACUCUAGCAACCCAAUUUCCUGAGGAAUGGGACCAGAGAGUUUGUUAUCCCAAAGAUAGAGUAUGGAUAGGCUUGUCAAGUUUCCAAUAAAAAAGGGGAUCAAAUCAGUGAGAUUAUUUUGCUGUAAUGAUAUUUUAAUGAGCAUGGUCAAGUUCCCAAUAGAAAAAGGAAUGGAACCAGAGAGUUUGUUAUCCCAAAUAUAAAGCUCAGAUAGGCUUGUCAAGUUUUCAAUAGAAGAAGGGAUGGGACUAGAGAGUUGGUUCCUAGAAAGACCAAGGUGAGACAAAUUUCUUAAUUUUCCAAUGGAAUAAGGGAUUCUACCGGUUAAAACAUUAAUUGACAAGUCAAGUUCAUUGAGAGACUCUAGCAAUCCAAUUUCUUGAGGAAUGGAACCAGAGAGUUUGUUACCCCAAAGAUAGAGUAUGGAUAGGCUUGUCAAGUUUCCAAUAGAAGAAGGGAUUGGACCAUAGAGUUGGUUCAUAAAAAGAUCAAGGAUAGAUAAUUUUCUUAAUUUUCCAAUUUCAUGUGGGAUGGUUCCAGAAAGAGAAUUGUUGUGAAGGUCAAGACAAAAAAGAUUACGGAAGGCCGAGAAGUUGAAAUCAUGAAGCGUACCUCUCAAGCCAAAACUUUCAAGUGUCAAAUUGGUGAUGCUUCCAGAAUUGUCACAGGUGAUUCCAAUCCAGUUAAUGCAAGGGCUGAUGCCGACCCAAGAAGAAAGAAGAGAUUGGCUUUGGUUGUCAAGACAGGCUUUCCAUUGGAGAAGAGCCUCAGCUUCUGUAUUAUUAUUACCAAAUGGUGAAGUUGUGGAGGAAGUGUGUUCAGCUAAAGCAAAGAAGGAAGAAGAGCUGAAUAUCUGAAGGAGCAAAAACAGGAUGUGGAGAAAGAAGGAGAAGAAUGGUUUGUUUAGUAAGGACGUCGUCAUGGUGUGUUUUUCAAGAGACGUAGGAUAUGGUUUGCUAUGGUACUAGAUUAGGCUCUUCCAUGGAGUGGUAUUUAUAGGCAGGAAAACAUGAUAUAUUGGAAUUGUUUUUAAUAUCAUUGAUUAUUACAUCUCUUCUCUAAUUAAGUUGAAAUUAACUACUUAGAUACAUACUCUGUAAAAUUUAUCAGUACGAAGAAGAAAUUGAGAAGACUAUAGAUCAGUACACUUGAAGUAACAACCACGGGAACAGAAAAAUGAAGUUCCUAUCAAUCCAUUUUUCUGAAGUUCCUAUCAAUCCACGUCAACCGAUUAUAAUUUUAUUUUAAAAAAAAAACAUUUAAACUAUUCUAUCCUUUUAGUAUCUUAAAUAAAAAUACUAAUUAUUUUUUUAUAAUUUUUUUUUAUUUUUAAUAAAAAAAUAUUUAAAUUACACUUGAAGUAUUCUAAAUAUUUUUUUAUAAAUGUUUUCUAUUUUUUAUAAAAAAGUUUAAACUAUCCUUAAACUAUCCUAAACAUAAAUUCUAAUUAAUUUUUUUAUACUUUCAAACUCAUCACAGUUGUAGAUCCCAAAUGGCUCGUGGAACUUGCUCCCAGAUUCUUUAAAGUGGGAGCGUCAAGAACGCGUUGAACCUCUCUAUGAUAGAUAUCACGAACCUAAUUCAUGGCGGUUGAGUAAACGGCGAGCUUGAUGUGUUUUCAGUUAUUUUUAUCAACAAGUUUUCAGUCUUAAUUAAUCUUUUCUUGCUACAAAACGUAGCUGUACAUAUUCUGUCUUGAAUCUUGAUUAUGUAUUGAGGAAAUCUAGACACAUGUAUAUCCCUGGAAGAUAACAAGCGAGGUCCUCUGGUCUUCUUGACAUGAAUUUGUUCAUAACUUUUGCUGCUAAUAACAAUCAUUUGGAUCAAUUUAAGGUUGGUGGAAAUUAACUAGUUUAUCGGGUAAAAUCACUUGGAAUGUCCAGCCGGAGAACAUUUAGGGUCGAGGGAUAGGUACACCUCCAAGUGCCUUCUGAGUCCAGCGAUUAGUGCCUGGGCCCUCUCUAUAUAUACUUUCUUUGCUCCAAAUAUAGUAUUACUGGAUAUAAUGUUAUCGUGUUCUUGGGGUUUGAAUUUUCUAAUGGAAAUUCAUUUCAUUAGAAAAUUCAACAUCAAGUUGGAAAUUCAUUGGUUGGUAGAGUGGGUCGGAGGGAGAUGGCAGAGGAUUCUGGACCCGGUGGUACCUCAAGCUCUGCAGGGGAGGAUGAGGCACGGGCUUCCAUGAGCUCAUGUCCACAGAAACACUACGUGCAAAUUGCUCUACGAGAAAGUCUUUGGCAAAAUCUAUACAAGUGGUCUCCAUAUGAUAUGGACAUUUCACGAAUGAGAGAUGGCAUGAGAAUAAGGUUUCUUGAAGGCAUAUAUCUUUGACAAUUCUGUUUAAAGAAGAAGUUUUUGUUCAGCAGAGACAUUGGAAUGGGAGAUUGCAAACCAGAGCUAGUUGUAAUGAAGAUUAUUGGGAUGUGUUUCUAUACAAAACGGAAAAAGAAGAAAUAUUGACGAUCCAGUUCUUUGAACAGAAGUAGACAAAGAAAGAUGGUGCAAAGAUUGAAUGGGGUGUCUAAUAUCUGCCAUUGGAGACUAAAGGAGAAGAGGACCUAGCUAUUCUUAGCUUUGUCCAGUUAUUUUUGUGUAACCUACACAGCGAGUAUACAUAAUGGCUAAAUGAACUAAUUUACAACGAAUUCCUCGUUAAAUUACUCUAGAACUGACAGAGGGCUAAAAAAUGGCAUUCUUCAUAUAUACACCAAUAAAAAAAAUAAAAAUCAUAGACGACUAUGCAACCUCUGGUUAGACAAUCUAUGACGGACCGGGGAGACGCUCUCCCCUUUGGAGAUGAAACAACAGCUGCCUGUGGAAGUGAUGACAUAGCCAGAAGAUUGCCUAACUGCAAUUCCAUUCUGAGGUUUGGUGUUCAAAGAAAAGAAUGAUUAUCACACGGAAAUUCCUGCUGUAUUUUCCUUCAGUCUCCUCUCAGCUGCUAGAGCAGCAGCCACGGACGGGGGCAGAUGUCUUAGGUUUUCAGUUGGCUUUCCAUCACUUUCUGGCACAGUGGACGGCACUGUUGCGAGUAGGGACUCAACAUCCUUGAAGGUGAUUUGGUCCAUGAAGAUCAGUUGAAAUAUAAAAAAAACAUACAUAAGAUGAUCUAGAGAUCUAUCUACCUUCCUCCUUUCAUCUGGAUAUGAUGACCCGACCUACAUGCAUGACCCGGAUGAAGGAUGACGUCAGCAUGCACAGUUGGCAUGCCAUGCCAGGGCCAAGUCAUCUGACACGUCAGCACGGCGGGACCCACAUCCACGUCAUUAGCCGCGAGCCGAGCCGCGAGCCGAGGGAUAAGAUCCAGUGUGGCUGAUUCUACGUGCAACCGGAUCUGAGAUUGAAUUUGGACCGCUUAUCAGGCUAGAAUUGCUUUACCUCCGUUUGCUAGCUUGAAUGCCUUGUUGUUUUCCAUGCAGUAUGGACAUGCGAGUUUCCCAUGCGUGCUCCAACCAGAAAGCAUUCCAUAAGCUGGAAAAUCACUGAUAGUCCACAUCAAAGCCGCCCUCAUAAGGAAAUUUUGUUUCCUCGAUAUAUCAUAAGUCAGAGAUCCGGAGGACCACAACAGCGCCAACUCAUCUAUCAACGGUCGAAGACAAACAUCUAUAUUCCGCCCCGGGCUGCUUGGAGCGGGUAUGACAGUAGAUAGAAACAUGAACUCCGGCCUCAUACACAUUCCUGGUGGCAAGUUGUCGCACGUGUGCGGCGGCGCGACGAUCGUACACCCUCAAGGAAAAAUCGGAAUAAUUUAUUCCUGGAAAAAUGGGGAGAGACAAGGAAUUCUUGUCUCUACAAGUGAAAAUAUGGACUGGGAGUCGCCACCUAGUUUUCUGGUUACUAGGAACCUUAACUAGUUUUUAGAGAUCGGGUACGGAGACUGGUUGCGUAAGGGAAGAUAUUAGCACCCCAACUACGUCCUACCUAAGGUAGGCUGCAUUGUUUUAAUGUCUGAUAAAAUUUAAAAUCGUGUUGUGGUUUUUGAAUUGUUGGUUCGUUUACGGUUUAAGAAAAGUCCUCCUCUGUAAGGAGAUCCUUAUCUUUAUCGGGUAAAAAACUAACUAUUCGAAGUCGUCAAAAGAAAAUAUCUUUUUAAUAUCAGGAAUACGAUUUACGUAUAAAUUCAUAAUCCUGAUACUAAAAUCAAACAAAAUAAAAUAUUUUGUUGUUUUUGAGAUUUUGGCCAAUGUUCUCUUGACUUUAAUAAACUGGUUAUUAAAGCCAAAAUGCAUGCUAAAAUAUUUUUUUUGACAUAUGAAAAAUACGAUAUGAUUUUUUAGAUUUGAGACACUUGGCCGUAUGCACAAAAACAUUUUUUUUUAUUUUUUUCAAUUUUUUUAUUUAUUUUUGGAAGUUUUUGCCGAAAAACGGGUAUUUUAAUACCGGAUUUAUAUUUUUACGAUGUAAAAAUACUGCCCGAUAUUAAUCAAAAUGACAUAAAAACUACGCGGAAAAAUUAUAAAAUGCUGAAACAAAUAUUUUUGAUUUUUUUUUAUGCAUGUGUGAACAGUACCGUAUGAAUAGUGAACAGUACCGCGGGACGAAAACCGGGUAUUUUAAUACCGAAUUUAUAUUUUUACGAUGUAAAAUACAGACCGAUAUUAAGCAAAAUUGAUAAAAACAUGUGCUGGAAAAAUUGUAAAAAUUCUAUAUAAAAAAAAAAUUGAAAUGGAUUGAAAUGGGCCGGACCCGGCCCAUUUCAGUGGGCUGGGCCGAACCUGGCCCAAAUGCAUGGGCUGGGCUCGGGCCCAGCCCACCUUAGCAGCUUCACCUCGCCUGCAGGCGUGCACCGUGCACGUCCUGCAUGGCGAGGGAAGAAACGAAAAUAAAAAUAAAAGGGGGCAGUGUUUACCUGGAGAGGCGGCGACGCCGACGACUGCUGGUGGCAGCGGAGGCGGAGACGGUGCUGGCGAUGGCAGUGGCAGCCUCUCCCCUGUUUUUCUUCUUCGGUGCAGAGGUGAGAACCUCUUUCUUUUCUUUUCUUUUCUUUUCUUCUUCUACUCUCUCUCUCGGUCCUCUCCUUCUCUCCCCUCUCUCUUCUCCCUUCUUCUCUUCUGUUUUUUCUCUCUUUCUUCUUUUCUCCCCUGUUUUUAUAGGCAAAAAACAAGGGAGACGACUGUUGGGGCCGCCACUGUUGGCCGCCCCUCCACUAUCCAAGUGGCCGAAAAAGUAUGCAAGUGGCUAUUGUGGGCGUCUUUUUGAAGCCGUCGGGGAAAGCAGUUCGGCGAAAAGUGGAGAAAAAAAAUUUCUUCUCCUCUGUUCUCUGCGUGCGCAGGGAAGAAGACAAUGGUGCCGUUUCAAAACGGCACCGUUUUGGGUUCUUUUUUUUUUUUUUUUUUUUAAACAGUGCACGAAACGGCGCCGUUUUGGUCAAAACGCGCCGUUUCAUUUAAAAGAAAAAGGCGCCAAAACGCGUCAGAUUUCAAAGAAGUCCCUCCAUUUGCGCGCGUUUUACAAUUUAGUCCUUGGUCUCGGAUUUCUUCAAUUAAGUCCCUAAUUGGCCAUUAAACUUCAAUAUUUAUGCAAUUAAGCCCCUGAUUUGACCAAAUUAACUUCCAAAAAUUAUAAUUUGACCCCAGAAAAUUAAUUUCUCUAAUUAAAGCCCAAAUUAACUCCAAAAUCAAUUUUUUUGCAAUUAAAACCUCUAUAAAUUCAAUUAAACCUUCAAUAAAAUUUAAUUGAGUCCAUAAACUUCUAAUUUUGCAUUUUUCUUCCUUAAAUUGAAUUUUCUUUAUCAUCGGGGCUCUCAUCAGUCAAUGAUAAACUGUCAAAAAUUAAUUUUUAUAUUUUUGAACAUCCUCAAUCAAUUUUUGAACAUUUUUAGGGCGCUCUGGCAUUUUUUUCACUGUUAUAUUUUUUGAUAAUAUAUUUUUUUGUAUUUUAUUAUUUUUUAUGCGGGGACCCAAAAAUGGGUUACAACACAAGUUAUAAACUGUGAGAAUGACCGGCCAACAAGAAUAGGGAGCAGCAAAUGACCCAAAUGGGUUGAACCCGUCUAUCCACAACCCAAGUCGAACAUUCCUUGAUUCAGCAGAAAAGUCAGGAUGAACACUGUUAAAGCGUUUCCCACGCUUUGCCGUCAGAAGUGUCGCACCCCAAAAAAAAUCCAGCGCGCGGCAUCGGCUGGCGAUUUUUCAUCAUUUUUGCGUUUACUUUGAAUUCGUUCGUGGGAGUCGCCACCUAGUAAUUUGUUGAGGGCUACUAGGAAACCUGAUGUACUAGUCUUGUCAGAGAUCGCGGGUAAGGGACUGGUUGUGGUUAGGGAAGGUAUUAGCACCCCUAACACACCCUACCUGAGGUAAGCUGCUUUGUGUUCUGAUGUGAUUUGAAAAUUUAAAAUAUUAAUUAAAUUCUAAGGCUUGAAUAAAUCAGUUAUUAAAUCCCCGAAUAUAUGCAGAAACUUGUUCUUACAUUUUCAUGGAAAAUACAACUUGAUUUUAUUUGUCCUUCAGAUAUUUAACCAUAUUUAAAUUAACAAUUAAUUCUUUUUGUCCUUUUUGAUUUUUAAUUCAAUAAUAUAAAUAAAUAAAAUAAAAAAAAACAAACAUACAAGCACACACAAACAUUUCUUUUUAUUUAUUUAUCAUUUUCUCUUUUCUUUUCUUUUCUUUCUUUUCCUUUUUCUUCCAUAUUUACAAAAUACAAAAAAAAACUCAAAACUAAAUAAAUAUUACAUUAAACAAUUUGGAAAUUACAAAAAUGAACCCAAAACACCCCUGAACAGCGUCAGGACGACUUCUGGAGCUGCUGGAACAGUGGUGGCGCCUGGAACAACGCGCCACCGUCACUGGCGGCGCGUGAAUCCACGCGCCGCCGUGAAAAAAAAAACAGGGGAUCAGCCACGGCUUCCUCUCUUUUUCUCCUCCUCAUCGGCGAAGAUGGUGUGAUCUGAAAAAAUAACAAAAAAACGCACACAACAGGCAGUUGAUUUUAAUUUUGUUCUCUUUGUUUUAAAAUCUGCUUCGAUUUUUUUCUUCUUUUUGGCAGAUCUGUAUGUGUUUCUUCUUCGGUGCUGAUGAUUGUUGGAUCUCGGCCUGAUCUGCUACCCGGGUUUGAGUCGGAGGAGAGCCGGUUGAUGACGGGCUCGUUGGUGGCCGGAUCGGUCGGAAAAAGCAGAGGACGAAGGAGUGGCGGGGUCGUUUCUGUUGAGGAUAGAUCUGCCGGCCUCUAGACCUCUGGUGUGGACGGCGUUGCUGUUGUGUGGCUCGGUGGAGAUCGGAGAGCUUGAUAGAGAAGGGGUCUCGGCUAAGAGGCAGACGAUCGGUGGAACGGAGAAGAAGAAAAAUUAAAGUAGAAUGGGGGGGGGCUUGAGCUGCGGUGGAGAGGCAGAGGUGGAAGGGGCUGUCUUGGUAUGGAUGAGAGGAAGAUCGGCGUUGUGGGUUGUGUUGGUUUGGGGAAGAAAAAUAAUGAAAACGGGGAGGGGGCUGUUCGGUUUUGGAGGAGAAGGGAGAGGAUUUGGGUGGCUUCGGGUGCAGGCCUUGGAUUUGCUGGUUGAAGGGGAAGAAGAUGGGGGGGGGGGAAAUUAAGCCGGGGCUGUUUUUGGGGGAGGUUGAGAGUCAGGGAUGAAAGACAGAGAGGGGCGGCGGCGGCUCAAGGUGUGGAAAAAAAAGAAAACCGGGGGUGGAUGUGUUUGGGGUUUUUAGGGUUAGGUUUUCAUGUGAUGUUUCAAAAUUGCCCCCAUGCCUUAAAAUUUGCCCCCCCUUGCAAGUGUUGGAAACCAGUAUUUAUAAGCAAAAAAUGUUGCCAAGUUUUUCAACUUGGUCCCUCAACUUCUUUCUUUUUGUAAAUUUUGAUUUUUCUUAUUUUUUUGUAUUUUUUUGAAAACGAGCAAGAUCAACGUCGACUCAACGAGGAAAAUCAAUGAUUUUAAAAAUGACGCGUGAAAAGUGGAACGCGUUUGAAAAUCUUUUAAAAUUUUAAAUUUUUUUUUAGACGACGUUAAAAAUGCUAAAAUGACGAAAAUAUAUAAAAAAACAUAUUUUUUUGGAUUUUCUUUGUUUUUCUCUAUUUUUGGAUUUUUUAAAAAUAUAUCAAAAACAUGGGUCAAAAAUUGGGUAGCAACAGAUGCCCCCUCUUUACAAUGCUUACGAAGCAAAAAUCCUCGAUAUUUUGCAUAGUAAGCUUUGUAAAGAAAAACUUGUCUUUCUGUUUAAAAACCUUUUUUUUUUUAUUAUUAUUAUCAUGAGAUCACAUCUGGCGACCUUCUUUAACCAAAACCAAAGAAUGUGUGUAACUCGGUCAACCUGAAAUCCCAUAUGGAGAUUCCCUUUAACCAAAGCUACAUGAGAUCCCAUCUGGCGACCUCAUUCAAUUGGAACAAAAGAAUGUGUAAAAAGCGGUCUCAUUAUAAUGGGUGACCUACCCAAGUGGAAAGGGGGAAGAGUGGUCUCAUUCUUUGGGUGACCUACCCAAGUAAAAAAAAAAUGGAGAAUGGUCUCAUUAUAAUGGGUGACCUACCCAGAAAAAAUGGUGGUCUCAUUGUGAUGGGUGACCUACCCAAGUGGAAAAAGGAAGAGUGGUCUCAUUCUUUGGGUGACCUACCCAGGGGGAGGAAUGGCCUCAUUCUUAUAGGUGACCUACCCAGGUAAAAAAAAAUGGAGAAUGGUCUCAUUCUUUGGGUGACCUACCCAGAAAAAAUGGUGGUCUCAUUGUGAUGGGUGACCUACCCAAGUGGAAAAAGGAAGAGUGGUCUCAUUCUUUGGGUGACCUACCCAGGGGGAGGAAUGGCCUCAUUCUUAUGGGUGACCUACCCAGGUAAAAAAAAAAUGGAGAAUGGUCUCAUUCUUUGGGUGACCUACCCAUAAAAAAUAGUGGUCUCAUUGUGAUGGGUGACCUACCCAAAAUGGAAAAAAUAUGAUGAAGUGGUCUCGUUGUGAUGGGCGACCUACCCAAAUAGAAAAAUGUGAAGUGUGGUCUCAUUGUAAUGGGUGACCUACCCAAAAAUGGAAACAAUAUGAAGUGUGGUCUCAUUUUAAUAGGUGACCUACCCAGAUGGAAAAAAUGUGAUAUGACAAGUGUGAAAAAUAGGACUUACCUGGCGAAGUCCCGAGGGGAUGACAGAAGAAGGGCUGGAAAACUUGGUGCUUCCUGAUAAUUCUCGAUCAUAGGGUUUGAAAACUCGGUGUUUCCUGACUGCAAGGGUUGAAAACUCGAGGCUUCUCGAUUGCAAGGUUGAUCUUUCCAUUUCUUUGGGAUUUUCCUAAUGGUAAGGUUUAUCCCAUCGUCCUUUUAUUCCAUGAUCAAAACCGAUUCUUUAUUAUCAUCACCACAAUGUUCUUUCUCUUUCCACCAUCUUGCUGGACCUCAUUAAGGAUUUUCCUGUAACAAUUCAAAAAUAUGUACAAAUGUUUCUUACCUGAUUCGAAAUAUAGGUCCCCCCCUCCUUGAUGCUCCAUCGUCAUAGGGUUCCCUUGUUUGCAUCCCAAGGCUUUCUUUGUUCUUCCGAGGCAUUGACUCAUUCAUGUGCUGGCCAUACACUCAGCUGUAAAUGCAGUGCCCAUCCUAGGCGGUCUUCGACAAUUACUGCUCGCAACGUUCAUCAACCUUGACCCUGCCCCCAAGUGUGGUGCUGCUUGAUUCAUUACGAAGGAUUUUCUCUCUGGAUUCUUCUGAGAAUUAUCCUUUGAUUGAUUGUGUGCAUCAUGUCAACACCCAUCAAGAUUGUUAAUCAGUCAUGAGCUUGAUAGAGAAGGGGUCUCGGCAGAGAGGCAGACGAUCGUGGAACGGAGAAGAAGAAAAAUUAAAGUAGAAUGGGGGGGGCUUGAGCUGCGUGGAGAGGCAGGGUGGAAGGGGCUGUCUUGGUAUGGAUGAGAGGAAGAUCGGCGUUGUGGGUUGGUUGGUUUGGGGAAGAAAAAUAAUGAAAACGGGGAGGGGCUGUUCGGUUUUGGAGGAGAAGGAGAGGAUUUGGGUGGCUCGGGUGCAGGCCUUGGAUUUGCUGGUGAAGGGAAGAAGAUGGGGGGGGGGAAAUUAAGCCGGGGCUGUUUUUGGGGAGGUUGAGAGUCAGGGAUGAAAGACAGAGAGGGCGCGGCGCGGCUCAAGUGUGGAAAAAAAAGAAACCGGGGGUGGAUGUGUUUGGGUUUUAGGUUAGGUUUUCAUUGAUGUUUCAAAUUGCCCCCAUGCCUUAAAAAUUUGCCCCCCUUGCAAGUGUUGGAAAACCAGUAUUUAUAAGCAAAAAAUGUUGCCAAGUUUUUCAACUUGGUCCCUCAACUUCUUUCUUUUUGUAAAUUUUGAUUUUUCUUAUUUUUUUGUUAUUUUUUUGAAAACGAGCAAGAUCAACGUCGACUCAACGAGGAAAAUCAAUGAUUUUAAAAAUGACGCGUGAAAAGUGGAACGCGUUUGAAAAUCUUUAAAAUUUUAAAAUUUUUUUUUAGACGACGUUUUUAAAAAUGCUAAAAUGAAAAAUAUAUAAAAAAACAUAUUUUUUUGGAUUUUCUUUGUUUUUCUCUAUUUUUGGAUUUUUUUAAAAAUAUAUCAAAAACAGGUCAAAAAUGGGUAGCAACAGAUGCCCCCUCUUUACAAUGCUUACGAAGCAAAAAUCCUCGAUAUUUGCAUAGUAAGCUUUGUAAAGAAAAACUUGUCUUUCUGUUUAAAAACCUUUUUUUUUAUUAUUAUUAUCAUGAGAUCACAUCUGCGACCUUCUUUAACCAAAACCAAAGAAUGUGUGUAACUCGGUCAACCUGAAAUCCCAUAUGGAGAUUCCCUUUAAACAAAGCUACAUGAGAUCCCAUCUGGCGACCUCAUUCAAUUGGAACAAAAGAAUGUGUAAAAAGCGGUCUCAUUAUAAUGGGUGACCUACCCAAGUGGAAAGGGGGAAGAGUGGUCUCAUUCUUUGGGUGACCUACCCAAGUAAAAAAAAUGGAAAGGUCUCAUUAUAAUGUGACCUAAGAAAAAAUGGUGGUCUCAUUGUGAAUGGGUGACCUACCCAAGUGGAAAAAGGAGAGUGGUCUCAUUCUUUGGUGACCUACCCAGGGAGAAUGGCCUCAUUCUUAUAGUGACCUACCCAGGUAAAAAAAAAUGGAGAAUGGUCUCAUUCUUUGGGUGACCUACCCAGAAAAAAUGGUGGUCUCAUUGUGAUGGGUGACCUACCCAAGUGGAAAAAGGAAGAGUGGUCUCAUUCUUUGGGUGACCUACCCAGGGGGAGGAAUGGCCUCAUUCUUAUGGGUGACCUACCCAGGUAAAAAAAAAAUGGAGAAUGGUCUCAUUCUUUGGGUGACCUACCCAUAAAAAAUAGUGGUCUCAUUGUGAUGGGUGACCUACCCAAAAUGGAAAAAAUAUGAUGAAGUGGUCUCGUUGUGAUGGGCGACCUACCCAAAUAGAAAGAAUGUGAAGUGUGGUCUCAUUGUAAUGGGUGACCUACCCAAAAAUGGAAACAAUAUGAAGUGUGGUCUCAUUUUAAUAGGUGACCUACCCAGAUGGAAAAAAUGUGAUAUGACAAGUGUGAAAAAUAGGACUUACCUGGCGAAGUCCCGAGGGGAUGACAGAAGAAGGGCUGGAAAACUUGGUGCUUCCUGAUAAUUCUCGAUCAUAGGGUUUGAAAACUCGGUGUUUCCUGACUGCAAGGGUUGAAAACUCGAGGCUUCUCGAUUGCAAGGUUGAUCUUUCCAUUUCUUUGGGAUUUUCCUAAUGGUAAGGUUUAUCCCAUCGUCCUUUUAUUCCAUGAUCAAAACCGAUUCUUUAUUAUCAUCACCACAAUGCUUCUUUCUCUUUCCACCAUCUUGCUGGACCUCAUUAAGGAUUUUCCUGUAACAAUUCAAAAAUAUGUACAAAUGGUUUCUUACCUGAUUCGAAAUAUAGGUCCCCCCCCUCCUUGAUGCUCCAUCGUCAUAGGGUUCCCUUGUUUGCAUCCCAAGGCUUUCUUUGUUCUUCCGAGGCAUUGACUCAUUCAUGUGCUGGCCAUACACUCAGCUGUAAAUGCAGUGCCCAUCCUAGGCGGUCUUCGACAAUUACUGCUCGCAACGUUCAUCAACCUUGACCCUGCCCCCAAGUGUGGUGCUGCUUGAUUCAUUACGAAGGAUUUUCUCUCUCGGAUUCUUCUGAGAAUUAUCCUUUGAUUGAUUGUGUGCAUCAUGUCAACACCCCAUCAAGAUUGUUAAUCAGUCAUGAGCUUGAUAGAGAAGGGGUCUCGGCAGAGAGGCAGACGAUCGGUGGAACGGAGAAGAAGAAAAAUUAAAGUAGAAUGGGGGGGGGCUUGAGCUGCGGUGGAGAGGCAGAGGUGGAAGGGGUUGUCUUGGUAUGGAUGAGAGGAAGAUCGUUUUCAACUUGGUCCCUCAACUUCUUUCUUUUUGUAAAUUUUGAUUUUUCUUAUUUUUUUGUAUUUUUUUGAAAACGAGCAAUAUCAACGUCGACUCAACGAGGAAAAUCAAUGAUUUUAAAAAUGACGCGUGAAAAGUGGAACGCGUUUGAAAAUCUUUUAAAAUUUUUAAUUUUUUUUUUAGACGACGUUAAAAAUGCUAAAAUGAUGAAAAUAUAUAAAAAAACAUAUUUUUUUGGAUUUUCUUUGUUUUUCUCUAUUUUUGGAUUUUUUAAAAAUAUAUCAAAAACAUGGGUCAAAAAUUGGGUAGCAACAAGAAGGAUGCACCAUCACACCAUCAACGACAUCGUGUGUUUGGUGCCAUGUCAUGUGCUCAGCAGUCCUUGGUGACAUAAAUAACCUCUGCAGUCUAGGUGUGAUCGAAAAAUAUCUAAGUUUUUUAUACGCCACUAGAGUCUUCCCCCUGCCAGUUCUGGGUUUGUAACGGGAGUGCCCGCAUGUCAUGCACUCGAUCAUCUCAGCAUUUUCAAGGUAGUAUAACAUGCAGAAGUUAGGGCACAUGUCAAUUUUCUGGUAUCCUAAACCGAGGGGUUUCAUCAUGGACUUCGCAGCAUAGAAGUUCUCUUUGAGCCUGUUCCCUUCUGGUAAAAUGCUUCUUGCCCAAUCAAUAAUUUUGUCAUACCCGGCCUCACUCAACCCGUGAUCUGACUUGAUGGUGAACACCUGUGCCACGGCCGAUAAUUUACUGUGGUUUGUGCAGCCAUCCCAUAAUGGUUCGUCAGAAUCUUUCAACAAAUCAAAAAACCUAGCUGCCUCUGCAUUAGGUUCUUCUUCUACGAUUGGACAUUGAUUGACAUUGUCUUGAUUCAUUCUCAUUGCAUCCAUAACCAUGUUUCUGUAAGGAUUAGUGUUGUCAUUUGCCGCUUCAUGCACGUUGCUAGCACUAGAAGUUGACCCAACCACCGUUUCUCCCAUUCUCCUAUUACUAACAAAUACCUCUCCAUGUGCAUACCAACACUCGUAAUCCUCCACAAACCCUUUGUGUAGAAGAUGCAUCAUUACAACAUCUGGAUGCAGAUACUUUUUAUUUUGACACUUCCUGCAUGGACACCUAAUACCGCCUCCAGUAAAAUUUCUGGGAAUAGAUGUUGCGAAAUUAAUAAAACCCUGAACCCCGUUACAAUAAUCCAUCCUCCGCAAUCCUUGGGGUGAAUCUAGAUACAUCCAUGAACGAUCAUCCAUGACUUCUAUCGAACCUCUAUAAAAAGGACCCAUUAAUUAAGCAAGCUCUUAAUUAUUUCAAAACAUAACAUGUAAUUCGGUAAUUCUACAAAUUAAGUUUUAACAAUUUUCAAAAAAAUACAAUCUUACAAAAUCUAAAACAAACCAUAACAAGUAUAAAAUUAUACAUUCAUAUACUACAAGUUUGUUUGAGAAAUAACAAUAAAACAUGUACAUCUACUAAAAAAAAAUAAUACAUAUACUAAAAAAACAAUAAAAUUGACAUUUAAAUGUUAAAAUUUUAAAAGAUAGAAUUACUUACAAAAAAUGAUAAAAUCCGUCGGUAAAUCAGAACACGGAUGCUGUGACCACAAAACAAAUACAACUUGUUGUGCUGAGAUGAGGAAGAUUUUUGUUUUGGGGCAAGGGGGGGGUGGUUAUUUUGCAGAUGGGGAGGGUUAGGAUUAGGAAGAAGAAGGAGAAAUGGGGGAGGAGAGUGUCGGCAAAGUGGCCAUAUAUUCACUUUUGCCGACGGACUUACCGACGGUUUGGAUUCCGUCGGCGACUCCAUCGGCAAAACCGUCGGUAAUUCUGACGGGCAAUCGACACGUCACCGCACGGACCUCCUAUUCAAAUCCCUCGGUGAUUCCAUCGGUAUUUUUAACGGUGCACCGGUCACGUCACCGGUACGGAUCUGGCAUUUCAAAUCCGUCGGACUAUAUCCGUCGGUAAUGACCGACCGAAUUACCGACGAAAUUAUUCCGUCGGUGAGUUCGAUCGAAAAAUACUGACAGAAAAAAUUUCGCCGGUGAGUCUGUUGGUAUUUAGCGAAUUUCUGGUAGUGUCUAAAAUGUGAUUUGGACGAUUUUAAACUUCUUUUUAGCUAAUUUGAUCAUUCCAGAUGCAAUGGUACGGUCCGAUCGUUGAGAUUGAGAUCGAAAGUGGUGGUGGUUAAUUAUUAAGAGAGAUUGCUCGAUUAGGAGACAUUUGAAGGUAAUCAUAGUGGUCAAUGGAGAUAAAGAAGAAGAAGGCGCACACAUUUGCCCAAUUAUGUGUGCUGAAUUGUUUAGUGGGGAGAAUUUUAAUUGCCUUGAGGGAAGGCAAAAUUGGGAUUCUUUGGACACCCGAUCAUGUGGACGAUUUGAGGUGGAGAGUAAAAAUUAAAGAAGACCAAUCUUGACGAAUCUAAGCACUGGUAGUCUCGCUAGAUGUUGAGAAAUCAGGUAUAAAACCAGGAUACCCAGAGCACUUAUAAAGGAAAGCUGCAACAAAGCUAGCAAAUGGUUGUAUAUACGGAAAGGCAUUACGAUGGAUAGAUAUGGCCUAAGGAGUUCUGGCUAGGAGAUUGGGUUUUAAGCGGGACCGGUGUGACCACUCCAAUCUUUCCUAGAAACUUGCUUAGUUGAAGGAUUAUCCAUACGAUACUAUUUUCGUAUAUGUAACAGUUUGUAAUGAAACUGGUGAAGACUAGUAGGAAGAUAGCACAGGGGGAACAAUUGGGUUUCGUAUGAUCAAGGAUCUAAUGUAGUGGUGAUUUGUCUAAAGAAGUUAGAUUCAACGACUGUAAUUUCUUGAAGGGAAGGGAGAAUUGAUGAAGACCCUAAUAAUAUAAGAGAAAUAUAGCAAAGGGAUAAAGAUUGGCACCUUAUUUUGACUUGGAUAGGUGUUGUGACAAGAUGAGCUGCUGUCAAACAUAAGUAAGGAAUAAGGAGAAAUCUAGAGAACAUAAAUUACACGAGGGCACACAGAGAUUGUGCAAAGUACCCGUAGGAUCUAACGAGGUACUGUAAUGAGACAACAGGUGCAAGGAGAAGAAAAGUUCCCAGAUGAAGCUCAUAGCAGAGACUGUGUGAAAAGUUGUACAAUGAGAAGUCUCUUAUGCUCUUGAUGAAGACAAUAGGUGAAGACCUUUCAAUGCAUGCAAAGAUGGAAAUAAAGCUGUUGCAGAUGCACCUAAUUAAGAGGGUGCGACCACCUAUGAGGAAAGGCGAUGAAACCAAAGAGAGUUGGUGUAGGUGGAGUGAUUAGUACUUAAAAGUGCAUUUUUAUCUAGGUUUUAUAUCUUCAUUUUUCACUUGUAGUAUCAAUAACUCCUUAACUAAAGCAUGUUUUAUAAUAACAAGUCUAAUACUAUAAGAUACCUUAAUAUAUGGUAAAUGUUCAUCUUAAAUGCAGGCAUAUCACAUAAAUCAAAGGAUUGAUUAAUGAAUUCAACUACUGAAAUUGUGAAGAUAAAGAGAGGGUGAAGCUUAGAAAAGUGAUGCUGGUUCAAUCCAAACUGGAACACUGUUCAGUAAUUGGGUCAUAUCUGGAGUUGUAGAUCUUUGAUUUAUGUCUGCUUUAUAUGGAUGGAAAGAUAAGACAUAGGCCUAAACCUUUCAUGUGGAGUCCAAGAAUUAAAAAGGCUGUUUUCAAGUCCAAAUUAUAGCAACAAUGGAGAAGUCCGAAUCUGUCCUACAGCCCAGACACUGUUCAGUGUUUAGCCCAUAGCUCGAGUUCUAGAAGUCCAAAUAACUUCAAUUUUUUUCCUGGAAAGCUAAGAUAAUUUCUUAGAACUUUCACAGUACAAGUGGUUCCAGUUCUGAUGUUAACAAUGACGUUUUGUUUAGACAGUAAGAUAAGGAUUGUUACCAAGUCAAGAUGUGGCCACCCACUCAACAAUUAUUCAUCAAAUCAAUAGUUCCAAAUUUUGGCCUAUAAAAGGAGGCAUUUGCCAUGCAUUUAGAGAUCUUGGUGUUCAGAUCAAGAUCAUGCUCUUGCUUUCUCUCUUUGUAUUGCUUAUGUUUUGCUUUUAUUAAUAUCAAGUUUAUGCACUUCAUUUCCUUUCCUCUACUUAGUUAACAUCUUUCUCAUUUAUGUUCUUAUCUUGUUCAUUUAUGUUUCUUUCUUUCAUUAUGUUUAGCUAAAUCUAUUAUGUCAAGGUGAAAAGGUUACACUAAUGGUGUAAGAAUAAAUAUAGUAUAAACUCAACAUGGACUUUAAUGCUUGAUACUAACAUGUUUUAUAUUUGUUAUCUUGUUUACUUUUAAUACUUUGCUUGUUAAAUGGUUAAUCUAGAUUUAUGUUGUAUAAAACUUGGUACAACAAAUACUUGGCACUUUCAUAGCCCAUACUGUAUGGUAUAACCAACACCUGAGCUAUGAAAGGAACUUGAUUUGUUGUUAAUUUAAAGUUAUAAUCAUGAAUGCCUGACAACAUUUACAAGUAUUAGCAUUAUUCGAAUAAGAUAACUAAUGUAAUCAUGUUAACAAUUUAUAAUCUGAUUGGAACCUCCUUUAUGUGUGGUUUCCAAUUGAAUAAUAAGAGUUUAUACUAUACUUAUUUGAAGUACCAUUAGUGGAUCCUCUAACCUUGACAUUUGUUUUUAUCAUUGUUUAAUCCUUACAAUAAUCUUCCAUCUCAAAGUUCUCAUUAAUUUCUUCCUCUUCUCUUUUUUUUUAUUACUACUACUACUACUACUACUAUUAUUGUUAUUAUUAUUUACAUUCUUGUUAUAUUUUAUGUACGUUAAGUAUGCUCUGUGUUUGAUCAAGGAUCCUGACAUUGUUGGUUUUGCCUUGUUCAUUCGCAUCAGAAAUCUGUUUAUAUUAUAUAAUAUAUCUCUUUGAUCUUUUCAUAAACUCAGUAUAUAGGCUGGAAACUUGUGACCCGAUUUUUUAGAUCAUUCUCAGGUAUAACAACGCCACGUACUAAGUAUAUUAUUACUAUUACUAUUAUUGUUAUUGUUAUUAUUGUUGUUGUUGUUGUAUUGUUAUUUAUAAUUUAUACAAUUAACCUCUCUGUGGUUCGACCCCGGUCUUGUCGGGUUAUUUCUUCGACACUCCUGCACUUGGAAGAAGACAUCAAUCUUUUGGUCGUGUCAUAGAGCUAUCAAGCAAAAAGGUAUAGAACCUCCAAACAUAGAAAUUGAGAUGGAGGUUUACAAGGAGUGUACCACAACUCUCUCUUUCUAUAUGAUCAGAGGCAGUGAUCUCUACCAAAUCCACAUGGUAGUAGAGAAUCUUGGAGGAGGUUUGAGAGCCAUAAUAGGAGCCCAAUUACAGAACGUCCUAGAGCCAAUGUGAUGGCUAGAUAUGAGUGGACAAGUGUAUAGAUAGCCAAUGUAGUGGUUAUGAUGAGUAUGAAGACAAAUAUAUGAUUGACUUUCAUGGAUAUUACCCCAUGCUAAAGUACAAUGAGCUAGAAGACAUUUGCCUUGGACAAUGAGUGGGUGACUUGUGGCGCAUUAAGACGUGAUUGCUAGGAAUGAGCAGAGGGCAUGCGCAGGUUCCUAGAACAAGUUGACUCUUGUCAAUGUGGUGAGCUCGGUAAUGGCAUUGUAAUACUCAAAGUAUGAAUACAGAUAUGGAUCAACAUUUAAUGGGUUGCCUCCAUAGUUAAAGGUGGAGAGCUACCUGGACUCUUAGGACUAAGAGCGAGAGACUAAUGGAGAAUUAAGGCGUGGUUUCUAGGGUGGAAAAUAGGGCAGACGCAACUCCUGGAUGAGUAGACUAUUGGAAGAGUGGUGAGCUUGUGAUCAUAUUGAGAUACUCAGAUAAUGAUUGUCGUAUUUGGAAAGAUAAAUUUUCAUUUGAGGGGUUGUUGUAAGCCAUAUCAUGAGGCUUGAAAAAUCAUUCCGGACCGAGCAUGGUUGAUACGCUUGAAGGGGAAUGUUAUGUUCUAGAGACAAGUGUUAACACUCUUCAGAUGUGAUGUGUGAGACCAUUUGGUUGAAGUGAUGCUUUGGUGUGAGCAAGGGUGUGCUUUGGUGACUCUGACGAUUGAAAGGUUUGGCAAGUACCUGUAAACUUGGUCGAAGGCGCUUUCAGAAUGGAAGCUUGGAAAAGUUGUAGGAUGUAAGCUUGUGCUAAAGAAGCAAGAUGACAAUUGCUCAUAUAAAUGGCAAAGGGGGUGAUUUUGUUUCUAGAAGGAUCGUUGUCACAUUUUCAAAUAACAACAAUUGAAAUAUUUGGGUUAAUCUUUACGGAAACCAUUCUUUAGAAUAUUCUUUCCUAAACCUCUCUCUCUAGGAAAGCCGGUGUAAGCUUAAUUAUUUUGGAAAAACCACUUCAAGAAGAGUCAGAAACUAGUGAAAAGGGAGCUCAUGUAAUUCUCCACCCUUAUUUUGGUCCUCAUUUAGGAAGGGCAGCAGCAAGGCCAACCACCGCUGCUACCAAUUGGAGCGAAGACCAUCAACGCAGCGACCGCCGCCAACGAUCACUUCUCUGAUCUUUAACCAUCUAGACGACAACACGCAACGGUGGCGCUGAACCCAUAAGAAGAAAGGAUUAACGGAGGGAGAUAGUGGCAUAUCUAAAAGAAAAGGUGUAAAACAAAAAGUGAAAUAUAUUGCUUGUGUUUGUUGGGUUGCCUUGCAAGUGAUUAAGAGAUCCACCGCUGACAGGGAAAGGAAGGGGAGAAGAGGCUGAGCUAGAUCUCACCGUUUCCAGUUUCUUCCUCGCGGCAGCGCGUGAUCCCACACACUGCUAGUGGUGGUGGCGCGUGGAGGAGACGCGCCACUAAUGUUUUUGGUGGUCCAGAAGCUUUCCCAGCAGUUUCCUGGAUUUUUAGAGGCUAUUAUGUAAUUUUUUAUUUGUGUAAUGUGUUUAUUUUAUUUUAAUUUUUUGUUAUUUAUAAUUUCAUAAGGGUGUAUGAGAAAAACAUAAUAAAAAGAGAUGCGUGUGUUUGUGUUUGUACCUUUUAAUAUAAAAUCAAAAAGAUAAAAGAAUUUAAUGUUUUAAUUUACACAUGAUCAAGUAUUUUAGGGAUAAAUAAAAUCAAGUUGUAUUUCUCGUGAAAAUAUAAGAAGAUGUUUCUACAUAUAUUUUUUGGGAUUUAAUAACUGAUUUAUUAAAACCUUAAGAAUUUGAAUAAUAUGUUUAAAUUUUUAAAUCACAUCAAUACCAUGAAGCAGCUUACCUCAGGUAGGGUGCGCUAGGGGUGCUAAUACCAUCCCAAGUCACAAUCAGUCCAUUACCCGUGAAUCUCUGAGAAAGACCGAUAUAUCUGGGUUUCCUAGUAACCUUCAAUCAAAUACUUGAUGGCAACUCUUAAAGAACCAAUCAAGCAAACAAAAUGAAAAAUCACCAACGAAUCGUCAUGCGGGUGACGUGCGACGACGAUUAUCGAUGGAAAUGUGCUUUAACUGCUGAUUUAGACCUGAGAAAUUGUUUAUCAAACAUUAUUGUUGAUUAUAGGCUAAGUUAAAUAUCUCAACAGUGGUACUUCAAUUUCAUAAGCAAAUGCGCUUUCUCUACUCCAACUAAAAGAAAAUGUUUUUGCAAACUAUGUUUUGUCCAUAGUGUCUCUUUCCCUCAAUUUAUGAACGUGAAACGUUAAAGUUUUAAUUGUUUCUUUUCCACCCAUUUGAUUGGAUUAAAAAGACCUUUUUCGAGUCACAUAUCAGCACUCCCGCAUGACAUUCUCUUAAGGAUCUUCUGUAAAGUCGCAGUCACAACUAUUGACAGUACGUAUGCAAACCAUGUGGAGAGAUUCUUUUGAUUUUCCCUUCUCUUCAUGCCUCUCUCCUAUAAGUCCUAAGAAAUACAUAGGAGGACUUGGAGAAACAUUUCAUCCAGCAUAGGCAUUUGAAUAAUCUGGAAGGCGACGUUGUAUGCCUACAAGUCUUAAGAAAUAUGUAGGAGGUGGUCGUCAGAUUUAGCCCCAAAAAAGUGAUCCAGCAUGGAUUUUAUUUAUUUUUCUACUUUUAUUCAAUGUACUUUAAAAAAAAAAAAACACUGAAUGGUAUUAUUGAAGUUUCAAUCCUGCUCAUCAUGGUUGAAUGGUAGCCUUCAUCGAUAGUCUAUGUCUCCUUGUAUUGGGAAUUAGAGCAAAUAUAUAUCAUAACAAAUUCUAACACAUAAAACAGUGCCAACAUAAUUUGAAAGAAAAAUAGUUCGAUGAUAAAAUUCAUAUUAGAAAUAACUAUUGUUCAAAUUGAUAAUCAAAUAGAAGUAGCUAGCUAUACACUAUGAGAAGAGAUCUCCCAAACUUAUUGUGCAAAAUGCCUUCGGCAAUGGAGGCCACUUAGUUGUAAGCUCGAAUUAAAUUUUUUCCAUUGUGGGCCGAGAUUGUGGAUUGGCAUGCAAGCAUGCAAGUGCAAUUUUCAUCAUGUGGACAACGCCCUCUGCUGCUCCUAUUUUGGGAAGCGAGAUACGGUGGUCUAACACAUCCUUCAAUAGUUCAUGUUGAGUAAUCGGUGGCAUCGACGAAGAUCCUGGUGAUAAGAGUGUUGAAAUGACAUCACCUGGGUGCCUUCCUGUCAUCACCUCCAUUGUUACCACUCCGAAGCUAUAGACAUCGCAUUUUUCAGUCACCUUCAUUGUGUUAGCUAUCUCUGCCAAAAAAAAAACUGAUUAUGCAUGGUUUUUUAUCAAAUAGUUGAAAGAAAAUACUUUAUAAUAAAAGCUAAAAAAACACUAUAUAUUAUCUUCACUAUUACACAUUAGUAACUUAAUGUUGAAAUAAAGGUACGCACCUGGAGCAGUAUAUCCAAAAGUACCUGCAAAUGAGGUCCAAUUGGAUGAGUCAGGCAUCGAUAGUCAAGCUGUGCCAAAGUCGGAGACGUGCGCUUCAUAUUCCAAAUCCAGAAGGAUAUUAUUGCUGGUAAUGUCUCGAUGAAUGAUUGGAGGAGAGCAAGAAUGGUGUAGAUAGGAUAAAGCUCCUCCCACCCCUUUCACAACGUUUAGUCUUCUCAUCCAAUCGAACUCAAUUGCAUGUUCCUCACUGCUUAUAAUCUUUCUCAAGCUUCCUCUUUCAAUGAACUCAUAAACCAAAAAAGAAUGCUUUGCAUGUGAGCAAAAUCCAUACAUUUUCACAAUAUUUCGAUGUCGAAUAUUUUCCAACACACAAACUUCCUUUUCAAAAGCUUUAAAAUCGGACACCUUUUCUGUUUGUGACCGAUGAAAUUUCUUCACAGCAACCACCUGUUCUGUUGGCAUCACUGCUUUAUAAACAGUUCCAUAUCCUCCUUCGCCAAUGCAGUAGUUGGAGUUGAAUUCCUCUGUAGCUUCAAUGAUAUUCUCAUACAACUUCUUCCCAUCAUGGCCCAAUAUCGUGAAUAUGUUUCGAUCUUGUUCAUUUUCUGGCUCAGCGUUUCUCUUCCUAGCUCUUUUGCAGAGAAUGGAUAAAGCUCCAAUCACAACAAACACUAAAAGCAAGCUUCCUAAAAGAGGGAGUACAAUCAAAAGCACAAGCUUGUUGCUUUUUGGGAGAUUGCAUGGCUUGAGACCACUGGCGUUGCCACAUAUACCCAUAUUAUCCCUUAAUGCCUCAAAUGAAGCGUUGUGGAAGGCUUUGAUAUCGGGAAUGGGGCCUUGUAGCUUAUUGGAUGAGAUAUCCACAGUUGUUAAGCUUAACAUGUCUUUGAAAGUGCUCGGAAUCCGUCCAGAAAGCAUGUUGUGAGAGACAUUCAGAGUUUCCAACCGUUGCAGUUGCCCAAGUUGCCUCGGUAUCUCUCGAGUCAGGAAAUUGCAGCUAAGAUCAAGAUCUCGAAGAGUAAGUAGAAAGCCUAUCUCGCCUGGAAUGCUUUCUCUAAAUUUAUUACCGCUGAGGUUCAACAACAAUAAAUUCGAGCAUUCCCCAAGUUGUUUUGGAAUCAAUCCACUCAGAUUAUUAGAUGCUAAAUUAAGGAAUUGAAGAUUGGAAAGCAUGUUAAUAUCUAAGGGAAUGGCACCUGAAAGAUGGUUGUUGCUAAGAACAAGCUUGUACAACAACUUCAAACACCCUAAAUCUUUUGGGAUGGCUCCUUUUAACUGAUUUGAGGACAGAUCUAUCAAGUGCAAUUGAGUAGCCUUCCCAAGCUCUAGUGGUAUCUCACCAGAAACAUUAUUGUUUGAGAUUUUAAGGCUGGUUAUGUUACGACAAUCUCCCCAUUUCGAAGAAAGCUCACCAUAAAAAUUAUUGUAACUCAAAUCAAUAAAAUCCAAAUGUUAAUGGACACCAAAAACCUCAUAAAUAUUUCCUGUUAAUUGAUUCGAAUCAAGUCUUACUCGGUGUAAAUGAGUACAGUUUUUCAAGCUUUCCGGGAUUGAACCUAAGAAGUAGUUGUAGGAAGCAGUAAAGUUUUCCAAUACUCCUCCAUGGCAUAAAUCUAGUGGCAAAUGACCCGUGAAUUCGUUGAUACCCAAAGACAAAUACUUCAAAUGGGUGAGAUUGUUCAUCUACGAGGGCAAUGGGCCGUGAAAUUUGUUGUCAAGUAAUAUCAAGAUCUCAAGCGAUUUAAGUUGUCCUAUUUAUGAAAGAACAUAGAUUAGAUCCAUAGAGCAUUGUCAAGUUUCCAAUAAAAGAAGGGAUGAUCCCAGUGAGAUUAUUUUCAGAUAGGUCUAAAACAAUAAGCAUGGUCAUGUUUCUAAUAGAAAAAGGGAUGGAACCAGAGAGUUGUUUUUUUCUAGUUCUUCAUGUUAUCUUUAGACUUGAUAAGUCAAUAAGAUCAAAUUAAAUCAAUUUCUAUAUAAUUGUUUUUCUUGAAAAUAUGUUAAUAAUACUUAUAUAUUUUCUUAAACAUGUAAAAAAAAAUAAUUCGACCUAAAGUAUAGAUCAUGUAAAUAACCUUGUUUUUUCUAAUAGCAAUCGACCUGAACUUUUCUAGUUUUUUAUUCUCAAAAAAUAUUCCACUUCUCUUAUUUUUUUUUCUUUAAACAAUGAAAAAUCCCAGACAGGCAUGGCUACCUUUUCUAUGGAGCCAACGAACUCAUAAUUGAUCGAGGAAGCCCUGUGUACGAUGUGACCUUGUGAAGUAAUAUAGAGUAUGAAUGACUUUAGUUAAAGACGGUAUGGUGACGAAUAAAAUAAUAAUAAUAGAAGAAAAUAAUAUACUUGGCUGUAUAUAUAUAUAUAUAUUUUUUUUUAUCACAACAUGAAUUCUCUCGUUCACUCCUUUGCAAUACAGUUUGUUAUAUUAUUAUCAUGUAUGAACCUAAUAAAUUAAUCACAUUAUAACUUAGGCCUUGUUUGUUUGCUGGAAAGUAGUUUUCUUUUAAAAAGUAAAUUUCAGGAAAGUGAAUUAUUUUUCGAUGUUUGGUAAUGUAAUGAAAAAUAAGUUGGAAAAUACUUUCUAGUGUUUAGUUAUAUCAUGGAAAAUGAGCUGGAAAAUAACUUAUUAAUGUUUUAUUUUUUUCAAGUUUAUUAAAAUAAUGAGAAAACAAAUCUUACAAAUUAAAAAGUUGAAUGAGAAUGAAAUUGAAAAAAAUAAUAUAAUUUCAUAAAUUAUCUCAAAUAAAAUAAAUAAUAAUCAAAAUAAUAGAGAUCAAAUGUAAAAAAUAAAAAAGUUGAAAGAUGAAGAAAUUAAAAUAAUAAUAAUUAACAUUUUAUAAAUAAUUUUAAAUAAAAUAAGUAACAAUCAAAAGAAUGAGGAUCAAAUUUGAUAGAUACAAAAUUUCAAUUAAAAAAUGAUAAGGAAAAAGAAAAUAACAAUUAUAAAAAUGAGGACCAAAAUUAAUAUAAAAAUUAAAUUCUAAGGGAUGAAAUUGAAAAAUAAAUAUUCAAAACAAAAUAUAUAUAGCACUCAAAAGUUUGAGGACCAAAUUUGAUAUAAUCAGCAAAUAAUAUGACAUUUCUAAAUUUUUCACAACUUCCGGAAAGUGUUUUCCGCCCAAAAUAAAAGGAAAACACUUUCCUGGAAAUCAAGCCAAAUAUUUCUUUGAAUGGAAAGUGUUUUUCGUUGACCGGAAAAUAUUUUUUGUUGACCAACUUUCCUAAUAGCAAAUAAACAGAGGAAAGUUUGGAAAGUAGUUUUCCGGAAACCACUCUCCGAAAAAUAAACACAGCCUUAAUCUCUUAUUGUAUGUUUGUUCUAUUUAUUCAUUGAGUUGUGAAAAACUCAUCAUUUUAUCAUUUCAAUCUUUUCAACUAUAUAUAUAGUGUGUGUAUUAGCUGAUCCGAUGCAAGUUAUUAAGAGUAGGUUUCUGUCUAUACUCUAAGCUGAUAUACCCAACACUCUUUCAUGCGGGCUGUGACAUGUAUAUAUGAUUUUUAGGUCAGUUUUUUUUUAUUAUUAUUAUUUUAUUUAGUUCUAAUAAAAUUUAUUAUGUUUAGGAAUAAAAUAGUGUCUUGACCUAUUAAAAUCGUGAUAUCAAGUGUUAGGAUCUGUUUUGAAGUAUAGUUGAUGUUGCAUUUUAAAAUGUUUUUCAUUUAAAAAUGUUUUAAAAUAAUAUUUGUUUAAUUUUUAAAAAUUAUUUUUGAUAUCAAUAUAUUAAAAUAACAAAAAAACAUAUAAAAAAAAUUAAUUUAAAAUAAAUAAAAAGUAAAAAAAAUUGCAAAAACAAACACCUAAACAUAAACAUAUGACAGAGGAUUCUGGACCCGGUGGCACCUCAAGCUCUGCAGGGGAGGAUGAGGCACGGGCUUCCAUGAGCUCAUGUCCACAGAAACACUACGUGCAAAUUGCUCUACGAGAAAGUGGUCUCCAUAUGAUAUGGACAUUUCACGAAUGAUAGAUGGCAUGAGAAUGAGGUUUCUUGAAGGCAUAAAUCUUUGACAAUUCUGUUUAAAGAAGAGAUCUUUGUUCAGCACAGACAUUGGAAUGGGAGAUUGCAAAACAGAGCUAGUUGUAAAGAAGAUUAUUGCGAUGUGUUUCUAUACAAAACGGAAAAAGAAGAAAUAUUGACGAUCCAGUUCUUUGAACAAAAGUAGACAAAGAAAGAUGGUGCAAAGAUUGAAUGGGGUGUCUAAUAUCUGCCAUUGGAGACUAAGGAGAAGAGGACCUAGCUUUUCUUAGCUUUGUCCUGUCAUUUUUGUUUAACCUACGCAUCGAGUAUACAUAAUGGCUAAAUGAGCUAAUCUACAACGAAUUCCUCGUUAAAUUACUCUCUGUAACUGACAGAGGGCUAAAAAAAUGGCAUUCUUCAUAUAUACACCAAUAAAAAAAAAUGAUACACGACUAUGCAACCUCUGGUUAGACAAUCUAUGACGGACCGGGGAGACGCCCUCCCCUAUGGAGAUGAAACAACAGCUGCCUGUUGGAAGUGAUGACAUAGCCAGAAGACUGCUUCGCUGCAAUUCCAUUCUGAGGUUUGGUGUUCAAAGAAAAGAAUGAUUAUCACACGGAAAUUCCUGCUGUAUUUUCCUUCAGUCUCCUCUCAGCUGCUAGAGCAGCAGCCACAGACGGGGGCAGAUGUCUUAGGUUUUCAGUUGGCUUUCCAUCACUUUCUGGUACACUGGACGGCACUGUUG
rnacentral:lncRNA from 1 species